rnacentral:lncRNA from 1 species
ACAAUGAUUAGAAUAAAAUUACCAACUCACAAACACCCUUUGUACCCUACGCCUUGGGUUAGCCGUUGCAAGGGUUGCCCUCGGAGAGGUGGUUACGUCAAAGACGGUUAUCGUUGCUAUGAGUGUGCUAUUUCCUUUCACAAAGAAUGUGCAGAGGCAAUCUUAGAGAUCCACCACCCAUCUCAUCAUGCACAUCCUCUCUCUCUCGUUUUUAAGAGGCGCGGACCGAAAAAUUGUAAGUUAUGUGGAGUAUAUUUGUAUAAUAGUAAAUAUUACCAAUGCUCUAUAUGUGAUUUCGUUGUUCAUACGGCUUGUGCCAAAAAUCCACCACCAAAUGUUAUUGAAUAUCCCAAAGCCCAUGAACACUCUCUUGUUAUCGCAAAGGAUCUUUCUGAUUUCAAAUGUGAUUUUUGUGGAGAGGAAAUUCAGGGUAGUUAUCGUUACAGAUGUUCUCCAUGUAGAUUGGAAUUCGAAAUCGGGUGUUCUAUGCUUGCUUUAGAGAUAGACUACCCAUAUCACCCUAAACACCCCCUUAAAUUCCUCACCAAGGAAGAACAUCAUUUCUCUGAUGGUAAAUGUCUUAUUUGUGGAGAAGAAUUAGGAUUGAAAUUUUAUCAUUGUUCAAUCUGUAAGUUUAGUGUGGAUGUUAGUUGUGUGAGGGAUCCUCCACCGCUUACAGUCUUAUUUCCUAAGGCUCAUGAACAUCAACUCAGCCUUACACCAAGGAAAAUAUCUUUUGACUGUGAUGCCUGUGGGAUGGCGGGUGAUCGGAGUCCUUAUUCAUGCCAACAAUGUUAUUUCAUGAUCCAUCAAAUCUGUAUUGACUUACCAGAGAUCAUCAACGUCAACCGUCACGAGCAUCGCCUUUCUAGACGUCUUCAUCUAAGUCCUGAGAGUUGGGUAUGCGGAUUUUGUCACAAAAACGUUGACUGGUCUUAUGGGGCAUAUUCUUGCUCGAUUUGUCCUAAUUAUGUCAUUCAUUCUAAAUGUGCAAUACGAGAUGAUGUAUGGGACAAGUUAGAACUGAAAGGGAUACCAGAAGAACCUCAAGAUAUCGAACCAUUUAAGGUAAUAGAUGAAAACUUGAUAUGUCAUUUUAGUCACAAGGAACAUUAUUUACAACUCAACGAGGAAGGUAUCAUAUCCGGUGGAAGCAUUCGUUGUGAAGCAUGUGUCUUACCUAUAUAUUCUCAAGCAUUCUAUAGCUGCGUGCAAUGCAAUUUCAUUCUCCAUAAAACAUGCGCUAAUCUUUCUAGAAAGAAACGACAUUUUUAUCACGACAAACCAUUAACUUUAAUAUGUUGUGACAAGAUAAAGCGUUAUUGUAAAUUGUGUGAAAAAUAUUCUGAAGGUUUCAAGUAUACUGACUUUCAAUACUUCAGUAUUGAUGUUAAGUGUGCCAUGCUUUCUGAAUCUAUCAUCCAUGAAAGUCAUCCAUGCACCUUGUACUACAAUAACAACACGUAUAUGGAAUGCGCUUCUUGCAAUAAACGGGACUGUCAAUUGUUUAGUUGCGAUGACUGCAGCUUUGGAAUAGAUAAAAGAUGUGCUACUUUGCCAAAAACAACACAACACUGGUACGAUGAACAUCUUAUAUUUUUAUGUUACAACAAAAACAAGAGAGGAGGAGAAUAUUGGUGUGAUAUAUGCGAGGAACAAAUAGAUACCAUGAUCUGGUUCUACACAUGUGAUAGUUGCUGUGUCACGUUCCAUACUGAAUGUGUUCUCGGCGACUUUUCACGUUUUAUGCCGGGACGGAUAGUCACAUGUAUAAAUUGGAGGAUCAAAGCGAUGCAAACCAGUCCGGGUUUCUUACCACGUUGUUACAUUUGUCAUACUCGACGCGCAGUUCCCUUUGUUUUAAACUUAUGUAAUCCCCAAAAUAAUGUUUUCAUCUGUUCUUUAGAAUGUUUACUCAGAAUCUUAUUACCUGAAGAUUUGUAUUUUCUUUUAUAUAGAGAUGUAAUAACAUUCAUAUCUACGAAACAAUGAAUAAAUACUGUGUGUGUGUGUGUGUUUUUUUUAUAGAUUUUUUUUCGUGAAGCCAUUUCUUACCCAACGGCCUUUCAAAGAAAUCUUGGGCUUACUGAACUGAAUCGACUCGUGUGUGUGUAAAAGAAUCAUUCAUCAUCAUCAGUCAAAGAAACACUAAUGGUAACUCUAGAUCCGUCCAAAUGUUCUCCAUACUAAAUUGAUCUCUUCUUCACUUAGGAUCUCCGUUUUUGUUGUUCCGGCGAGAAGGCGGCGAGUCUGAUUGCGGUGGCGAUGUAGCCGACUUUAUCGGUGUUCACACUGACGAUUGGCCUCGUCAUUACCGCUUUCUUCUUCAUGUAAGCUAAACUCGAUCCGAUCGGAACCCCAACUGAUGUUAUAUUUGCUUGAUUGGUAUCAGCUUGUGGCGUUCUCAGUCCUGGAUCUCUCUCCUCUUGUAACGUGUUCAUUGUAUUUAAAGCUUGAUCAGCAUUGCUAUUUGCUUAUAUAUAUAUAGUGUUUGGUAACAAUGCAUUCUCAUGGAGUUGAUGAAUUAUGUUGUGACUUAUUUAUUUAACUUUUGAACAUGUGUGAGUUCUAUAUCCUGUCAUGAUGUAUCGAAGUAAAGACUCUGGCAUGUCAGUUACUGAAUCAGUACUUUUGUAGGUUCACAGAAUGUAAAAUGAUCGGUUUAGUUCAUUACUAGACAGUUGGAUUGUGUAAUUCUCGUUUUUAAGCAAUGAGCUUCAACCUCUAAGAUGGACACGUGCCCUUUACAUUAGUUUUUCCUUGGAGUCCGGUGGUCAUAUUGGACUCUUAUUCACAGUUCUGGUAUAGAUUGAAGAAGUGAUCAAAGUGUUGUAUUUGUUCUUUCUUUCUCUCUAACUUACAUGUUACACAACAUUAUUGAUGCAGCUAUGAAGCUACAUCAUCUAGGAAAAACUGUAGCCUCAAGGUUUGAGCUCGCGGCUGCGGCAGUAGCAUCUGUUUUCUUGGUAUGGUUUCUUUCUUCGUCCUCUGAACUUUGUAAUAGCUGUCUUAAACGCAAUUUCGUGUGGUGAAAUCAGUUUCUCUGGGUUAAAUUGCAGGGAUUUGGAUCGCUUUUUUUGCUACUUGCUAGUGGUGUUUAUGUCUGAUCCUUCGUCCUCAAUACUAUUCCCAACUAGACAGAACUAGUUUCAAUGAACAAAGAUAGAACGCGAUGAGACGAUGACGAUGGUAGGGCACUGUCAGGGAGAUGGAUUCACGGACCAACACGUGCUCUCUUGAGCUACGUUAUACAAAAAAAAACUAUUAGUUCGAGAAAAAACGGAAGAAAUAAAAAAGGAGAGUUAUUUGCAAAUAUACUCUCUUGUUUCACGAAAAGAAUAUUGAUGCCAAGUUAAUCGGAAAAUAAAAGAAGAAAAGAAUCGUUUAGGUUUGAGUCGUUUGAAUCUAUUUUCUUAAAACAAACCACUAAAUUACAUGUUUGGAUCUAAGUAAAAGUUUGGUGUAAAUCAUGUUUAGAAGCAGAGAAAAAUUGUUAUCAUUAUCAAGAGCAGAUAUUAAGGUCUUAAAACAGAAAAGUGAAACUCAUAGAUAAGUUGGUGGACUUUUUGACGAAGAGGAUGUGUAGAUGUGAUGAGAUUUUUUUGAGUUGGAGUGUCUGAAAUUGUUUUAGAAAAAUCAGUGAACAUAACUUAGUAAUAUAAAUAAAUUUAUUUAAUUCAUAGUAUAGGUAGACGUAUUUGAAAGUGGUGAGAUAUCCAUCACCAGGGAAUGAGUUUUAGAUUUGAUUUGUUUCUGUUGAUAGCGAAAACACUGAAUAGCAAAUAAAUGUGAAUUAUUAGUUAAAUAACAACUUAAAACAUCUUGAAUGAGAUGUUGAAUUUAAAAUUUUACUUAUUCUCAUGGGAACGAAGACGGUUGAAGAUUUCUUUGUAGACUAUGGUUUUCACUUUUUGUAUCGGUUUUUAUGAAAUAUAUAAUUUUGUGUAAAUUUUCUUCUAUGUUCAAGUUGUAAGUGUGAUUAUGUUAAGAGAAUGAGAUUGAGUUUUCAAAUACCAAAUUUUUUUUUAUAUUAGGGUAUUUAAUAAAGUGGAGAAUAAGAUCUUAAUUUUGAGGAAAUCUUAGUCGAAUAUAUUUUGUAGUUGUUUAGAACAAUGUCAGUAAUUGUUAUUACUAACACUUGUUGUUGUUUUUUUUAUAUAUUUAUGUUAUAUUUGAGGUUGUUAUAAAAAAAAAUGUUAAAUCUGAUUAUAAUGAAUUAUUAUGGUUGCUGAUAUAAAACAAAGAAAACAGAGAGCUUUUGACUGAAUAAUACUCUUUCCUUAACCUUUACAAAGAUUAUUACAUAAUAGUUUUAUAGCGACAAAUAGACAAUCUAGGCUAGGCAAGGCAAUAUGGACUAUUAGAACCAGCUAUUUAGGACAGCUUAAAGCUUCAUUGUCCUUCACAUACAGAUGAGAAAGCAUCAAAAUGGUUGUGGCAAGGUACAGUCGAGGUCGUACUAUUCCUCUUUUCCGAAUCUCUUUCAUGUUGAUAAGAUGACCAUUGGAGACUUGAAGGAUUGGGCUUGAGCUCUCUAUCAUUGAUGUCUUGGGCUGACAUGAGUUUCGUUUGGGCCACUUCAGUAUCUUCACUUACAACUGAAUGUAUUGAAACAUAAGUAAUGACGUUGAAUUGUUGGCUAAAGAGUAAUGAAUUUCUUUGCCUUUCUUUGUUUCUUUUGUUUGAUGUUUUUUGUUAUAUUUGCUUAUAUAUUCUGAAUUAGUUGUACUGAUAUGUUUAAUAAUAAGGCCAAAAGGAAACAAAUAACAAAUCCAAAUGUUAGAAAAAGGGUAACAAAUGUAUUAUUUUAAAUGGAGAAACUGAGCUUAACAUCUAUCUGAAUUUAAACACAUAAUAAAUUUUCAUUUCAGUUGAGAAAUAUUAAUUCAUUUGUAUGUAGGAUACAUGAGUUGUUUUCUUUCUUGGUUCUAACAUAUAUUUUUAAUUUAGUAUAAGCAUAUGUUGGUCCGAAUAUAACACAUGUUAAUUUUAUUAGUUAUUUAAUAUCUAUUUCUCUUCUUUCAUGUUUUAUAGUGUUUGCAUCUUAUAUAUUAAAACAGAAGUCACAAUCUUGAUUCAUGUGUGAUUUUUUUUUAAAAAUGGACCUAAUGGACCUAUUUCUAUAAAAUCAUGUUACAUUUAAUAUAUAAUCUUAUCAUUUAAAUUUUGGGCCUACCUGAAUUUUUUAUUGGGCUAUCAAUAAUUGAAUUUAAACAAUAGAUGAUCCAUUAGAUUUAUAGAUAAUAUAAACUAAAUAGAUUUAGUUUGAUGUUGUAAUACUAUACCUCCAUAUGUUAAUUAUUUAAAUAUUUAUCAAUUUUAAAUUUUAAAAUUAUAAAGCCUUUUUUAAAUAACAAAAAUCAUAUUAUCUAACAAUGAUUAAUCUUUACUACCUUAAACCAAUGAAAACAAAUUUUAAACUAUAUAGUUUAUUUUAAACAUUAAACAAAAACUAAAUGUUUAAUUAUUUACUCGAUAAUAUAAAUCUAUGAAAGGAAAAUUUUAAUUUUUUAAAAACUUUCUAAAUUUGUGAAAUGUUACAAUAUCUUUGAAUAUGACAAUAAAACAAUAUUUUACUAAUCUUUAUAUAUAUAGUUACGAUUUUAAUAAUGAAAUAAUAAUCCGAAAUAUAUAUAUAGAAGAAGAUAGAAAUACAUAAGAAAGUUUGAAACAAUCUAUUCAAUGAAAAAAAUAUACCGUAAAUUUAUUAUGUUUUCAAAAUUGAUAGACAUGUAUAUAUUAUAAUAUAUACCAAUUUAGAAUUGAAAUUAAACAAAAUGUUUAUAUAAAAAUAAAAUAAAACAAAAACCCAUGCAAUUGCGCGGAUCGAGAUCUAGUAUUUUAUUAAAGUAUAAUUUUGUUGUAUAAAUGUGAGAACUAAUUUUCUAUUUAUAUAUUGCAAAUUUAUUUAAAGUAUGACGUUGAUGGUUAAAUGUUUCUUUAAUGACACAUCCCUUUAUCUAUUUUAGGACUGACCCUUUGGUAUCAAGAUGUUGCAAAAAAAUAUAGCUACCAUACGUUAAUAGUAGUACUAUGGGAUUAUUAAUAUUAUUAAUUUGAUUUUUGUAGAUACCACAGGAUUAUUAUAUUCACCUGUAUGCAUUUUUCUUUUGAUUGAUAAUUUCAGGAAUCUUGUGAGUUAUGACUCUUGUCGAUUUGCUCUUUGUUUCCAAAUUAAUGCAACAAAAAGUAACAAAAGAUGAAAAAUGUGUUAGAAAUCUUGCGAGUUAUGAGGGGCUCAGCUUGGAAAACAAAUCUCUCGGACUCGUGCUGGAGAAUCAAGUGACCACGGUGACUUUCCUCAGCUUUAACUUGGCACAGUUAGAGUCUUCUAAACAAUUUUUGUCUCCACUUGAUUAUUCCUGGCUGCCAGGCAGAGGAAGGAGCCACAAGUGUACUUGACGGACUUGACACUCAGAGAGAGCUAACCGGCCAGGUUAAGGAGAGGCGGCAUAGAGAGGAGGAGCUUGGUGGUGCCACAAGUAUUUAUGAUGACUUUGUAGGGGUAGACAAAGAAGCUGGACUCAGAGAGGACGCAAGAGUCGAAGUGAUCGUUGGAGAGAGAAGAAACAAUCUCGCAGGCAGCAGGAGUGUGUAUUUCGUCAAGCUGGGACCUGGUCAGAGUACGGAGACCCAGUCCCUUGGAGUCUUGAAGGAUGCUAGGCUCAAAGAAAGAGACCUCGGGCGGCUUCUCGUAAAUUCGAAACCGAUUGCAGAUAAGGCCAUGUCACCUUGUUGUCUGAACUUGUAGUAGGAGGAGAGAACGAUGGGAUUGGGGAACCAAGCAGAAACGGAGCUUAACAGAAAGUAAAUUAUAAACUGGAAAUUAAAGAAAGCAGCUAUAACUAUAGUGAAGACUCGGUGCGCUACAACUCAGGAUGGCCUCUUAGCGCACUGCAAAUAAAGAAAGAAACAUUGUUAAGAAACAUGUUACUGUAAUGGAGAGAGAGAGUAAUGUAAUGAAGGGAAGAAGAAGCUUUACGUUGGAGUAGACAGAGAUUUGAAUUUCUUGAUUCCACCGUUGGGGAGAACGUCUUCAAUGCUGUAACCGAGGGGAGCUUCGUAAAAUAAGGAACUACUACAACUGCCGGACUUCUUUUUACCAUAUUUCGACUCCAUCACAAUCUCAUUCACGCUUUCUGCAAUUUCAAGACCAAACCAUAUGUAUUAGAUGCAGGAAAGAAAAGCAACGCUUAAUAGAGACUUAUCAAUGUUCAAAGUUUUCACAUUUCAAUAACAGAUCUCGAAUAAACGUUCAAUUUAUCAGAUGAGACAUGAUCAGAAUUCAUUAGAUCUACAACUAUGAGACUUAAAACGUAUAUAGGUAUCUAUAUAUGUAAACACAACAUCAAUCAAAACAUGAAUCGUCUGAUACAGAAUAUAAUAAUUGAUCAGAAUGAUGAAUCUCUUGUACAAAAAACCGAAUAAAAUGUAAAUCAAACGUAAUCGUAGGUAAAGACGUUAGAGAUAAUUACUUUAUAUAUAAAGAUUUAAAUCAAGACCAGAAUUAUGAAUCCCUUCUUUCCAGAUAUGAACGAAACCUCCAGAAACUGAAAGUCAAAACAAUCGAGGUUAUGAUAGCAUCAUCCUCAGGGUUGAUAGGGUGAUUUAGAGUGUAGGGAUGCUAACCUUUUUACCUUUUUAUAAUCGAACCUCGACCGUCCUCGAAGAGAAAAGGUGGCAUUGAAGAUAGAUCGAUGGAUUUAAGAAGAAAUUUAAUAGGAAUGACCGAUGGAUUUAUGAAUCAGUAGGAAAAGAUGAAAAGUUGGUUUGAAACCUAGAGGCGGAGGCGGAGAAGAGAGAGCGAGAUGAAACUAUAUCAUAACAAAAGCCCAAAAUACAGAUCCAAAACCACAGAAGCCCAAACCCAAGUAAUCAUUUAAUGACGUGGAGGAAUGCUGCAAUUCUACUGGACGAAUUUCCAGUACGACAUGAACCCCUUCAGAGAGCUUUAUAUUUGGCUUUUAGCAUAGUUUUGAUACUAGGAUGAUGACAAUGUUUAAGAAUUAUAUAUAUACUAGGAUGAGACCUACGCUUUGCAUGACGUGAAACAUGCAUAAAAAUCAUAUAUUCAAAGUAAGGUAGUUCAGUCCGGAUUUUGGUUUGGUCUAGGCUCAGUUUUUCAAUUUUUUUGUUUAUAAAAAUUAAAUAUCAUAUAAAAAUCAUAUCUGUUUUAGUUUGAUUCAGUUUAUAUACUGUUGAUUUUUUUAUUACAUUUUGGUCUUGUUUCAGUUUAGUUUUUUGAUAUUUUGGUUUACAAAAAUUAGAUAUCAUAUUAAAAUCAUAUUUAUCUUGGUUUGAUUUGGUUUAUACACUGUCGGUUUUUGGUUUAUUCAAUUUUAUACCAAACAAACUUAAACUAUAUUUAUUUUUAAAAUAUUUUGCUAAUUUAAUUUUGUAUAAUUAAGAAUCAAAUUUAUUAAAUACUACUCUAAUUUUAAAAUAGAAUGUUUUUUCUAUUAUAUUUAACUAUUAAAAUAAUUAUUAAAUAAAUUAGUUAUUAUAGAUUCAUAAGAUGGAAAAAAAAUUAACACUAUACUAAAUCGUAAUAGUGAUACAAAUGGUUUAUAAAGAUUUCGAUAUUAGGUUAAGGAUGUUUAUAUCCCCUAUUAAUUACUACGAAUUGUACUUAUAAAUAGGGAUUUUUGCACGAGGAACAUUAUUUACAACUCAACGAGUAUGGUAUCAUAUCCGGUGGAAGCAUUCGUUGUGAAGCAUGUGUCUUACCUAUAUAUUUUCAAGCAUUCUAUAGCUGCGUGCAAUGCAAUUUUAUUCUCCAUAAAACAUGCACUAAUCUUUCUAGAAAGAAACGACAUUUUUAUCAUGACAAACCAUUAUCUUUAAUAUGUGGUGACAAGAUAGAGCGUUAUUGUAAAAUGUGUGAAAAAUAUUCUGAAGGUUUCAAGUAUACCGACUUUCGAUACUUCAGUAUUGAUGUUAAGUGUGCCACAAUUUCUGAAUCUAUCAUCCAUGAAAGUCAUCCAUUAACCUUGUACUACAAUAUAGGGAAGUUUAUGAAAUGUGCUUCUUGCAAUAUACUAUAUAUUGUUUAGAUGCGAUGACUGCAGCUUUGUACUAGAUAGAACAUGUGCUGCUUUGCCAAAAACAACACAACACUGGUACGAUGAACAUCUUCUAUUUUUAUGUUACGAGAAAAACAAGAGAGGAAAAUGUUGGUGUGAUAUUUGCGAGGAACAACUAGAUACCAUGAUAUGGUUCUACACAUGUGAUGAUUGUUGUGUCACAUUCCAUGUUACAUGUGAUCUUCAACUUUUUACGUUUCAUGCCCGGACGGAUAGUCAAAUUUGAGGAGUGGAGAAUCAAAACGAUGCAAACCAGUCCUGGUUUCUUACGACGUUGUUAUGUUUGUCAUACUCGACGUGCAGUUUCAUUCGUUUUAAACGUUUUUUAUCCCGAGAAAAAUGUAUUCAUUUGUUCUUUAGAAUGUUUAUUCAGAACCUCACGUGAAGAUUUGUAUUAAAUGCAUAAUGUAAUCCUUUCAUAUAUAUAUAUAUAUACUAGGGUUGGUCCGGGCUACGCCCGGGUUUUUGUUUAAAUUUUAAUUUUUAUUAUAUAUUUUGUAUGUAUGUUUGUUUUAAUCUAUUUUUUUCUGUUUUAAAAGUUUCAAAAAUUUUAAUAUCCAAAUUUCUGAUAUUUUUUUAUUGGAAUUUGUAUAUGAAGUGAUGAGCAAAAUGGACAAAAUUGAUUAAAUUUUAGCUAUGUGUUGAUUGAUUGGAUUGUAAAAAUGUUUCAUUUCACUUAAUUUUUUUUAUUGUUUCCGAAUAUUCUCUUAGUAAUUUAACUGACUCUCACCUUUAAAUAUACAAUCCUUUUAAAAUAUACUAGAUCCUUUUUCCGCGCUACGCGCGGAUAAUAUAUUUAAAUUUGUUACAUUUAUCAUUUUUAUUUGUAUGUGAAUUUUUGUAUAUUAAAUUAUAUAUAGCUAAUUUUUAAAUUUUUUUUUAUAUUUUUAGUUUGAAGUAAGUAUUUCUAUUAUAUGUAACACAAUUAACUAAUAAAAUAUGAAGAAUCAAGUCCGAACGAAAAGAAAAAAGUACUUCAAUAACCUACUUAAAAUAUAAAACUCUCUUUUCAAAAAAAACGUACUUAAUAACAUUUUUUAUGUGUAAUAGUUGAAAACUGAAAAUUAAAUAUCGAUCUAGAAAAUUAUUUUAAUAUAUCUAAUGGUAAAAUAUUAAUUGUAAUAAAUAAAUUUUGAAUUUUGUAAUAUUACAUGAAUUAGAAGUCUUUAAAAUCUAAAAUCUAUUUUAUAAUAUGUUUUUAUUCAUUUAUUAUGACGUUACAAAAUUUUCCUUUAGUUUUAUUUGUAUAUUAAUUUUUUAAUAAUUUAGUUUCUUUUUAGUAAUUUUAAAAUUAUCAAGAAUAUAAUAUAUUUAAAUAUAUCCAAAUAUGAUGUCUCAUUUUAAUGUGUAUUUGCAUUGAACAUAUUUAAUUUGUAGUCUGUAUAUAAGCCACACUAUACAAACAAAAGCACAAAAUAAAUUUCAUAGACGUUGUUGUUGCUUUACUUCUAUGUGUAGAUGUGAUGCCGUAUUUUUGUAGUUAGCGUUUUGCCGUGGUUACUAAUUUUCUAAGAUUCGUAUUGUAAUGUGGUUGAGAUGUAGUGAUGAACUGUUCUAAUAUUUAGCGGUUGGUGUUAUGUAUAUGUUGUGUGUGUAGAGUCAAGAGUGUAUUUAACAUUGUCGGAGGUUUUUCUAAAAGAAUAAUAAUGAUUAUAUUCCUAACUUAAGAUUUUUUUGUUUUUUGUUGUAAUUUUUAAUUGGUGAUAACAUAUUUAUAAAGUGCAUAGCGUUUGUUGAAGUUUAACUGGCUAAAAAUGUAGCGAAAAAGGUAUUUUUGUGUAAAACAAAAUUGUACUGGAUCAUAGUUAGACAUAAUGACUUUAACUCAACAUCAACAGUUUUAAUUUAUUAUUAAAAUAUAUAAUCUUCUAUGUCGGACACGUGAUAUAUCAAAGCGUUCAUAAAUUAAAAAACACAUCUAAUUUUAUAAUUUGAUGAGUUUUUAAUUUUUGUAAAAAAACUUGGAGAAUGUUUCAAAUAAUAUAACUUUGUAAAUUCUCUGUAGAUAAUCAAAAACAUUUCUCAAGAUUCUUUAUCGACUUCGCGUUUAUAACAGCCAUUGUUACCAGAUGAUCUUAUUUGAGAUUGACUCAGGCUCUUGGGUUUAUGGAGGACAAUGUGAUGUCCUGAAAAACCUUGAGCCUCUUCUUGUCCAACACUUUCGUCUCUGUCCCCAAAAACAGCCAUGAUCACCACUUCUUUGAACUCCUUGCUGUCUGGUAAUCCAGACUCUAUCGCUUUCUUCUCUUUCGUGUUUGUCUCUCCCUCAUCACAACCACCAAAACUCAACAUUCCCAUGGUUUGACUCGACAAUCUUGUCCUCUUCAGCUUCUCUUUAUUGUUGAUCAACUUCGAAGAGAAGAACGGUUUUGCAUCAACCCUUAAUGGGUUGUUUAGUACUACAUUCACAUUCACAUUGGUUUUCACGUUCUCGUCACCGUACCCACCAUUGCUCAAAUCCGGCUUUGCCUUAGGCUUCACGCUCUGUUCUCUACUGAGGCUGCCAUAUAUAGGAAGAACAAAACAUGGUGUCAAAAAGCCUUCUCUACUCAACCCUAUCAUCCCCUCCUCUUCUCAUCAUCUCGGAGCCAAGAUCGUUAUAAGCAUAAGCUUUUAAAUGUGAAUCCACUCCUCUAGGACCGUUAUUCAAGUGGCUAUCUCGUAAUUGAAAAUGAUGCUUACAAAUAUCUCGUAAGCUUUAAGUACUUGUACCUUGAAGACAUCAGUGCCACACAGAAAACCACCGUCUAAUAAGACAGAAACUUGUCCAUAUAUGGUUCUCUCGAACGUGGCUAAAUAUGAAAACUUUACAACCUAAACCAGCAUGAGCUCUAUCGCUAAACUACUUUAUGACACUUGGAUAUUUUAAUUAGGAAGCUUAAAGCUUGAAACUUAAUAUUGAUAUGGAACAAAUCAUGAAAUCAUGUUCAUAUACUGGUCAUAUAAUUCACUUUUUGCAACAAACUAAGACACACACAUAAACAGAGGUCCUACUGUGUAGAAACACAAUUAUACAAAGAUACUACUGCCGAGCUGAUAAAUAGCUUCAAUGAACGUCUCAUGAAGUUCUUGUAUCCCCACCUGUUCAUCAAAACCCAAACCAUUCACCCGCAAGACAAAUCUAUGAUAUAGUAACUCCAUGAUGGAAUCCCACAAGAAAUUUUUUAUCGCCACCUGUCAUGUAUGAUCCCCUUCUCUCUUCUGUCGUUUACACCAUCUGUGAUUCUUCUCUCUAAUGUGGUCUUAUUUCAUAUACAAACAUUCUUCUUGUGGCUCUUGCCUCUGUGUAGUUCCAACUGGUACAUUUCUGUUGCAUCAUAUUUGUUUUAGCAAUCCAUUUGGUCCAUGGUGUCCUCUUUUCGAUUCACAGAAAAAUAAAAGCUCAGCUUAGUAACAUACGUUGUAUAAUCAACAUGAAAGAGAUCAUGAGUGUUUCGAGUGAGUGAUUGUUGAUCAGCCUUCUUUCCUCUUUAUCUUCUCUGGCCAUUUUCCUUGAAGCUGAAGCAGAUUCAGUUUGGUCCCCUGUUUGUGUCUCAAGACUAAAUUCGAUUUCUAAAGAUGUGCAGUUGCAUUGCUUUGGAAAUGGCUCUGAGGAAGAGGUCUUGUUCUCUUGUAGCUUCUGUUGUUUCUCAAACAUAAUCUAUAGUUGUCGGCCCUGUUUCUCAAUCUGUAUCUGCAGCGACCGUUGGACCUGAGGCAUAUAAUUUAAACAGCAUCACACAUUAGUCAUGAUAUGUUAGGACUUAGGACGCACUACUACUCUUUCUUGUUUGAAGUAAGGUAAAGAAGGGUAGUUUAUUUUUAUUGAUAACACAGGUGAAGGAGAUCAUAUUACCUCGAGCUGAUCAUGGAGACGUUUCUGAACUUCCAUUUGAAACCUUAGAGCUUGUGUGAUCUCAACGCUCAUGCAAACGAAACAUUAACAAAAAUUAACUUAGCUAGAAACACACAUAUAAGUAUUUAACCUUAUUACAAACAAAACUCUAAACAAAUAAAGUCCCUACGUUUUCAUGUCAAGAGGUUUGAUAUCUUCCAUAGAUGUCAACUUCUUUUCUUGAGGUUCUUCUGUAGCUUCUGAAGUCUCCGGUUUGUACCUCGCCGUUCUGUAUUUCUGUAGAAAGAAAGACCAUAUACCACAAAGAUAAAACAGAAUGAGAUGCAAAAAAAGAAACGUGGAACAAACCUUCAAAUGGCUUUUUAAGUGAUAGAUGGUCAAGCCAGGGUUAUUCAAGAGAUUCAAAACAGCCUUAGGCGUGGCUCCUAAUGGUGGAUAUUAAGAAAGUUAAGAGAAGAAUAAACAGCCCUGAGAUAUUCUUUUUCAAGAACUAAUAGAAGAAGAAAGCUUACACACGUUCACUACCACAACGCUGAUUAACAGCUUCAACGAACGCCUCAUGAAGUUCUGGUGUCCAACGCAUGCGUUGCUUAGAUGCAGAUGAUAAGUUUCUUGCACUGAGCUGCUCCUCAAACGAAACCACUUGAUGCGGGGGGUGGUUAGCUAUUACCUCUUCUUUCCUUGGUACGACCAAACAUGGUGUCGGUAUCUGUUGAAAAGGCAUGAUUAAAUGACAAAAUGAGUAAACAGAAGUUCGUAUAAUAAUGCUACAUAGAAACUGAACCUGUGGACUUGGAUCUCCAAGAAGUUCAGACCAGUUAGGCUCCGAACCAUUGUCAAUAAGCUGAUCUGCCCAACUUUGCCAUUCGCUUUUCUGAUGGAGUUCCACGGAUGAGACCACCCUCUCUGCUUGUUGAUUCAGAACAGGAACUUGAUAAGAAAAAUCAAAGAACUCGUCUAGAGGGUCUGCCAACUUGGAAAAUCUUCCAAAUAAAAAGCUUUAUUUUUGGGUCAGUAUUCAGCUUCCAUAUUCAUUUUUCCCAGUCGAUAGGAGUCGCUUGAAGGACUUGUGCUGUAGUCUCUCAGUGCUCACAAGCUGCCCAAUAUCCAGAUUUUGUUGAGUAAACCCCAUCCUUCGUUAAUAAAAUAAAGAAGUUUCAUGAUGAACUACCAAAUUUCAUUUGGAAACAUCUGGUAAGAUGUCAUAUAAAGAAAGAGAGGAUAACAAAAACAACAAAGAAGACGUAAUACACUGGAUUUAGUGUUUACCUGUGAGCACCUUCUAAUGUGGACUAUGAUUUACUGAAGUUUCCACCCUCAGUGAUAAAGGCUGGCUUCAAGUCGCCAUGUUCAUCUUCCCCAUUUUUGGCUGUGAAGUUAUGAUGUCGUUCGAAUCAGUAAUAUAUCGACCGUAGCAUAAGGCCACUGAUCCCAUGGAGACUAUUAUGUAAGACCAUUGGAAAAUACAGAGUUAGGUAUUUAAAUGCAAGCUGCUAAAACAGAUGCAAAAAAGUGAAUUACAAAGUAUCAUCCUAAUCUUCUGCACCAGCGACACUUUUUCGUUCAAUGAACUGUUAUUCAACCUAUUCAUAGAAACAAAAACAAUGUGAGACAGAUAAUCAUCAAACACCAGUUUAAAAAGCAUUUAAAAUAGAAAAUGAAUUCUCAAAGCCACAAUUAGCUGCAGGGAAGAUAAAUAAGACAAAAUAAAUAGCUAAAUUAUGUUUAUUCAUAAGUCGGAUACAUACUCUGAUGAAGUACAUAUAGAUCAUUGGAUACCAGGUUCUACAUUCUUGGGUCAUAAGUAUACUGUUUUUAGAACCAUAAGAAAAAGACCGAGGCAGGUCAACUUACAGUUUCAGGCAGAUUAUUAAUCAGCACUGAAGUCAUCACCGUUGCUCGAGCAAAUAUUCUGAAAAAAAAUCAGCAAAAACAGUUGAUUAGAUAUCCAAAGCAUCAUCAAACAAAAUGUCUAAAUGUUCAAAGAGUCGUCAUAAACAGUAGACUUUCCAACGCUUUCGAAUCCUUCAGUGUCGGGGUAAUAUAAUGGAAGUUUUUACACCGUCAAGCUCUAUCUCUAGUGGUGUUCCCCAUACCCAAACCCAAAUCCAUGUUCACAACAGUUAAAGUGGAUUCCAACCAAAAAGGUUAAACCUUUCAAUAGCAAGAAGACUAUAUUUGAAAUUGGAGGAUGAUAUUGUCCUGGCAAAAAUGGGAUUGGUGGUGACAUACCUUUUGUUUUGGUAUCACGCAUGUGUCCAACACCAAAACCUAAUGAAUAUGAAAAUAUUUAUUUAUGACUAAAGCUUGGAAAGGAAAGGGCAAAAAAAAAAAACCUUGCAUCUCUCUCGUUCCAGUACUCAGCGGCUGAGUACUCAAACGAUCUUAAACCGUUUAUAUCGAUUCCGUCGUGGUUAUCGUUCGGAUCUCCGAACUCGUUGCUUUGGAUCGUGUCGAACUCGACAGUGAAGACGUGGUUCGUUUCGUUACCGUUGUUUGAGUUGUUGAAGAGACCGAUGUAUUGACUUGAUUGGGAGUGCGGAAGUGAGGCUAUGGGAUGGAGAGACGACGAAGACGAUUCCAUGGCCGCUUAGAGUGGGGAUCUGGGAGUAUAUGGCGAAGACGAAGGUGGUGGAGACGGAAGAGACGGUGGCGUUUGGUAUGUCUUUGAACUGGAUUGGUUUUGUGUAGAAGGCGUGACCGUUUUUUUUGCCACCAUGUUUGAUCGCCGGAAGAUGAAACGGAGAGAGAGAGAUUCACGCGAGAGAUAAAGCAUGAUAUGGGCUGAGACUUAAUUUGUUUCGAACAAAACAAAUACAAAAAUAAAAGAGCCCAAGAAUACCCAAUUUCUUGAUCUGAUGUGGUGAAAUGCUGGUUUGCUAUUGGCUGAUUUUUUGCUUACGUGAACACAUUCCCCUUAGCUUAUAUUCACCUUUUAGUAUUGUAUCGAUUUUUUAACACCGGUUUAAAAAUUGUAAUAUCUUUCUACAAUAAAAACUUACAACUACGUCACUAAAACCUAAAAUCUACAAACUAAAUUCUUACAACAAAAUUUUUGCACUUACAACCCAAAUAUUUAGACCCAUGAUCUAAAUAUUCAUUUAUCUUAAUUAUAUAAGUUCGGGUGCAAAAUUUUUAUAAAUGUACAACCAAUCAUAACUUAUAUUAAUUUUGAAACCAUUGAAUUCAUAACUUUCACAUGUGCUUUUUCAAAUUUUUUGUUACACUUCGUCCUAAGUCUAUUUUGACUGCUACAAAAUAAUCAACUCAGGUUUGUGUCUACGUCGUGCUCUUCGUUCUCAAGCAGCGAUGGGUGUUAGAGUCCACAAUCACUCAUCGAUUUGUUGUUAUCUUCACUGAUUGUUACUUGUUUUGAUCCACACAGCAUCUACCGGUCUUGAGCUUCAAGAUCAGUCUCCACUCGGCGUUAACAGAAGCUCUGAAGCUAUCAUGAAUGCUUUAUGUUCUGUCAAUGAACAUCCUAUUGUUUCUGCUAAACUGGUCGGGUGGGCAUUUAGUUCGCCACCGCGUUUGACUUUUUUCUUCUAUGUUGGUGGUCGGGUUUCAUGUUGAUUAUUUUGUUUUGGUCUCGAUUUAAGCUUAUGUUCAUUUCUCUUGUAAAUUUUUUUUCUUUUGUAAAGUUUGGUUCCUUAUUUAUGAAAACUUUUUCUUUAGAAAAUUCUUCGCUCACCAUGAUACAUUUAAAUGAGUUUUAAUUAUGAAUAGAUCCUUAAGAAAAAACCGCUAUCCAAACUCAACUCCAACAUCUAAAAGAACAUGAAUCUUUCUACCCAUCUUUGAUCAUGAAAUUUUUAAAGUAAUAAGUUAUUAUUUUUAUUGUUAUAUAUGUAUUUUAACUGUAAUAUAUAGGGCAAUUGUCCAAAAGAACACCUUUCAAGUUUAUGUCACAAAAAUGACACCAGGAAAUGAAAGUUACAAAAAUGACAUUCAUUAAAGGGCAAAAUGUCACUACUACCCUUGUGUUAUAAGAAUAAAAAAACAAACAAAAUUCAUUUUUCACUCGCGACUCUUCGAAACGUGUCGUCUCCGGCUCGGGAAUCUUCAAACCCUCACCGGCACUGUCGUCUCCGGCUCGCGAAUCAUCGUCUCCGGCUCGGGAAUCAUCGUCUCCGGCUCGGGAAUCAUCUUCUCCGGCUCGCAAAUCAUCUUCUCCGGCUCGCAAAUCAUCAUCUCCGGCUCGCGAAUCAUCUUCUUCGGCUCGCUAUUCAUCUUCUCCGGCUCGCUAGUCAUCUUAUUCGGCUCACUAAUCAUCAUCUCCGGCUCGCUAAUCAUCUUCUCUGGCUAUCUAAUCAUCAGCGUCACACUCUCUACUCUCAAAAUCGGACACAAAUCACUAUGUAACUUUUUUAAAUUAGGGGUUUUGAAUUAAAAUUUGUGAAGCUUGCGUUUUGAUUUUGAUUUGUUUGUUACUCUUUCUUAUUAACCAGCGAAAGACUUUUGAAUUGUGGGAACACAAAGUUGUUGGAGCAUAAUUCAUCUCUUUGAGGUAUGUUGCAGAUUCAACCUUCUGUGUGUUUGUACAAAUUUAUAAAAUAAAAGUUUGUUGUCUCUUGCUGCAUCUAUUGAAUGUUUUUAGAAGAUUUCCAGAAAACAUUUGUUGCUGCAUCUAUUGAAUGUUGAAUAUUGGAACUCGUAUGGUAACACAUUUUGAAACUUUUUUGCUUGGAGUCUUGUUUUGAUUAGGAAUGUUGAUAUUUUUGAUAGGGUCUUGAAUUUGCUUAUGAGUCUUUUGUUGCUUGUGAAACUGUCUAGUGUUUAUAAUAAUUUCAGGAAGCAUUUGUCUCCAUUUGUUUUUGAUAGUGUCUUGAAUUUGCUUAUGAGUCUUUUGUUGCUUGUGAAACUGUCUAGUGUUUAUAAUAAUUUCAGGAAGCAUUUGUCUCCAUUUGUUUUUGAUAGUGUCUUGAAUUUGCUUAUGAGUCUUUUGUUGCUUGUGAAACUGUCUAGUGUUUAUAAUAAUUUCAGGAAGCAUUUGUCUCCAUUUGUUUUUGAUAGUGUCUUGAAUUUGCUUAUGAGUCUUUUGUUGCUUGUGAAACUGUCUAGUGUUUAUAAUAAUUUCAGGAAGCAUUUGUUGUGUUAUUUCAGGAAAGCCUUCCAGAAAAGUUUGAAAUUUUUUUUUUCUUGUUUACGCAGGAUGGGAGAUUCAGUACCUCUAAAACUAGCACUGCCAGAGCUGAAGUAUCUUAUUGGUUCACAGCCAAAGCAAAAGUCAGCAAUCAACCAAUAUUCCGGCUCAGAGUAUAUCUCCAUUAUUGACAGCAUCCUAAAACCAGAUGAGAUGAUAAGAGUCCGAGGAUCAUUUCUGGGACCUAUAAUGAAGCUCAGUGAGAGAGGAUUGAAGUUAUCAGGAAAGAUGGUCUACGCCAUUCUCACUAGAAGCAUUGUUUCUGUCAAGAAGAAUGAAGCCUGGUUCCAUUUCGGUGCGCAGCCAAUGAGAUUCUCUAUAAGAGAAUUUCAUAUGAUGACAGGCUUGAAAUGUAGUGGUGCAUUAGAAGGAACACGAAGGGAAACUGAUAGAUUUAAUUGGGAAUUGCUAAAGGGGCGUAGUCAUAAGUUAAGUGACGUGGUGGAACAGCUCAGAAACACAAGAGAAGAUGCUUCUGAGGAGAGAGUAUGCCUCGCAAUGCUCAUCCUGGUAGAGAGCAUAUUAUUGCGGAAGAGCAAAGGAGGGAGUUUUCCUUUGGAAUAUGCGAAAAAUGCACAGGAUAUGACAUAUCCAUGGGGGAAAGAGGCUUACAUUGUGCUCCUGAAGUCAAUUCAAAACGCUGUCGCGAAUCAUUUGGAGAAUAAAUCCAAAUUUGAGUUGCAAGGUUAUCCUCUAGUAUUCCUUCUUUGGAUACUAGAGUCGAUUCCUUUGCUAAGGAAUAAGUUCAGUAAGUGUGUACCAACAGUUGAGGUUCCUGGGCCGACUUACUUGUGUAAAAAAAUACACUGACGUAGAGAAUCCAUCACUUGAUAGGGUUUUACAGGUUGAAGCUGAUACAAAGGUAAGCUUUUCCAAGUAUAUGUUUCUCAGUUUAUUUGGCUUCUUCUUUUUAAUAUGUUUCUCAUUGGUCUUUUUUAAAAUACUCUCAGCUGAAGGUCCAUUGCAUACUACCUUCUAUUCCUCAUGAUCCAGAAGAUGAUAUCUCCAUUGAAGACAAAUAUAGUGACGAGCUGGAAACACUGAAAGAUGUAACAAAGAAAGGGUACAAGCUUACAGCCGAUGACUGGGAAAAUAGGUGUGUAGACACAUUUGAAACAUUGGAUGCUCUUAUUCAAAUGAUGGCAAAUAAGGAGACUAGCCAAGCUUCUACUCCGAUUGAUGAGGAUUCAGUAAAUGAAAAAGUGAACAGGAUCAUCGAGGUAAUGGAGGAGAAUCUGAAGAGCAUGAAGGAUCGAAUGUCAUUACUGGAAGAAGAAAACAUGCAUCUUAGAGCCCGUGUGUCAGAGUUGGAAGGAAACAACAAUGUUUUUCCCACUAACGUGACACAACAGGUAAAUUCUCAAAACAUCUUCUUUUACAUUUGCAUUUUCAAGUAUUUUUUGGAAGAUCUUGUACAUAUUCUUGAAUGCCUUCCUAAUAUUUGACAAACAGCGAUCCAGUGGGACACCUUUAUCUCCAAUGUCUCACACGCAACCAUCGAGUGAGACGCCUUUAUCUCCAAUGUCUCAACAGCCUAAUUUGACACAUGAGGUAUGUAAAAAAUAAAUAUUGUUGAGUUUUGAAGUAAUAUUUGGAAGCUUUUGUACUUCUUGAAUGCAUUCCUGAUUUUUGCAGGAGACAAUGAUUGAAUCAGCUGCAUCUCCAAAGUCUCAACAAAAUGAGGUAUAUGCUCAAAAAAUUUUAAGAAAAUAUUUGGAAAUUCUUGUACAAAAUCCUGAAUGCCUUCCUAAUUUUUGCAGGAUUACACGCAACCAUCGAGUGAGACGCCUUUAUCUCCAAUGUCUCAACAGCCUAGUUUGACACAUGAGGUAUGUAACCAAUAAAUAUUGUUGAGUUUUGAAGUAAUAUUUGGAAACUUUUGUACAUAUUCUUGAAUGCAUUCUUGAUUUUUGCACGAGACAAUGAAUGAAUCAGAUGAUGACACUCCUGCCCUUGAUACUCAAGUAUUCUCUCCUAAUCUGACAAAAGAGGUAUAUGCUCAAUGAUAUUGUUUUCACAGUUGGAGUUUACAAAUUAGUUUUGGGUGAUUUUUUUUACAUAUAAAGGCUUUUCUGAUUUUUGACAGAAAGAAACAAGUGAGUCACCUGCUGAGAGGCCAUCCAAUCCUAAUCAAGAUGGAAAACCAGAUGAUGAGGUAACAUUUAUUCUAGAAAUUAUAGUUGAAUGUAUUCAUGAUGGCCUUUCCUGAUAUUUUUUUGCAGAUUGUGAGAGAGAAAUUAACAAGGGAGUCACCUGCUGCUCAGAGUCAAGUUUCGCAGAAAGAAACAGUGGAAAUGAAUGAGACAGCUUCUUCUCCAAUAGCUCCAAAGAGUAUUGAAACUCUCGUUUAUACUCCAAGUCAGACUCAGCAGGUACAUGGUCAAAAAAAAUCUUGGAUUUUUAAGUUAAUGUUUUGAAGCUUUAGAACGUACUCUGGAUUGCCUUCGUGAUAAUUUUUACAGAUUGAGAGAGAGCCAUCGGAUGACACGCCUGCCCUUGAUAGUCAAAUUUUCACUCCUAAUCUGACAAAAGAGGUAUAUGCUCAAUGACAGUUGGAGUUUAAAAUUAGUUUUGGGUGAUUUACAUAUAUAGACCUUUCUAAUUUUUGGCAGAGGGAAACACAAACCUCUACUGAUGAGACGCCACCCAAAACUAAUCAAGAAGAAGGAAAAACAAAUGAUGAGGUAAUAUUUACUCUAGAAAUUAUAAUUGAAUGUAUUCAUGAUGGCCUUUCCUAAUAUUUUUUGCAGAUUGUGAUUGAGUCACCUGCUGCUCAGACUCAAGUUUCGCAGAAAGAAACACUGGAAAUGAAUGAGACACCUUCUUCUCCAAUAUCUCCAAAGAGUAUUGAGGCUCAAGUUUUUACUCCAAUUCAGAAACAACAGGUAAAUGCUGAUUAGAUCAUAACAUGAGAUUACUCAUCCAACAGCCACUUUUUCUCAAGCUUACACCAAUCAGGAACUUUGACCUUCACAUCAGCAAGCAUUCCAUCCGCUUCCAUGAGUUCUUCUUUGAGUUUUUCUAACUCAGCAGUGAAGUCAAAUUUUCCUUUAGCCUUAAUAAUCUCUUCAAGCAACUCGAUUUGGGAAGCAAUGGAAUUUGCUUUGCUGGCUGUCUGAUGCCAUUCAAUUUCAGAUAGCCUGUGUUCGUUGGACAAACGAAGAAGAGCCCUGUAACGUUCCACAGUUUCCGCCUUUCCUUUGUUGAAACCAUCGGAAGCAUCAGAUCCGUAAACCUCCUUUAUGGGACGCUUCAUCAUCUUCUUUGACCCUUCCAUUGAAACUUGAUGAAUGAGAAAAGAAAAAUCACAGAAGAAAUGAAAGUCAGUAAAAGAGAGAUCUGAUAUCUUCCCUUGUAUAUAUAGAACGAAAAGUAACCCUUCGAUUACUAUAAAAUGGUUUAGAAAGCAACCUUUCGAUUAUUGAACGGUUACUGAGAUAAAUGAUAAUAUCUUCAAGCAACUCGAUGUCGUUUGGAAGAGACUCUUCGAUUCCUGAGAUAUAUGCUUGAACAAAAAAAAAAAAAUCAACCAUUACUCGUAGGAGAGUCGAACCCGGGUCGAACAAAUGUUUCGGUAUCAUAGGUUUGGUGGUUUAGCCGAUAGGCUGAGGAGAAUCAUCUGUUAGUUGCUUCCACAUAAUUGAAUUUAACCAUAUAAUUUAUAGUAUAAUACAUUGGAAAGAUCUUUGAUAGUUCAGGAUGGGCUUCCAGAGUAUGCAUGAAUAAUAUACAUGAAUAUUAGUGUGCUUCUUUCUUAAACUAGAAAAAAAUGAAAUGAGAUCAAAACUAAGGAUUAAUAUCUACAUAUUUGGAAAAUUUGAUAAUGUGAUUUGCAAAUUUUGGAGGAAAAAAAAAUAUAUAUACACAUCUACUAGGAUUCGAACCUGGAGAUGACUAGGAGGAAAGAGGGAAUUAAGGUGUAGUAGCCACUAGGCCAAGUUGAUUUCAGUCAUUACAUGUUGUAAGUAAAGUUAUAUAUUUCUUUUAUUUUUAUUCAACUUAAAUUUUUUUAAAAAACUCUUAUUAGUAUGGGCAUCGAACCCGGGUCGAGUCAAGCAUUACAAUUUUGACAGAUAAGUGUUUUAGCCGCUAGACCGAGGAGAAUCAUCUGUUACACUUUUCCACAUAAAUAUUCUUAACAGAAAAUGUUGUAUUAUAAACCUUGGAAAGGAACUCGGGAUUUCUGGAUGGGAUUCCAGAAUAGUUGAAUAUUACUGUGUUUUCUUCUAGCAAAGAAGUUUAAACUAAGAAUUGAAAUGAGAUCAAAAGAUAAUGUUGUAUAUUACAAAAUUUGGAAGAAAUCAUACUUAUUCGGGAUAGGGUUCCAAAAGAAAAAAUGUAUAUGGUCUGGUGCAUAUCAUGUAACCAUCAAAUAGCCAACAUCCAAAUAAUAAUCAAUAAAAAUGUAGAACUUCAUCCUAUAGGCCUCUCGCAUGUGCUCUUGUUGUGCCCUCCUGUGCCACAUCUGCUGCACUUGUGGGACUGAGAUUUAGAUCCAGGAACCCCAAACUCGCCAACGGAUCUCUUUCUCUUUGUAGGAGGGCGUCCACUUUUCUUUUUGGUAGCUGGAGGUGGGCAAGACAGUUCAUCAAUAUUCUCUGGAUAGGUGGACGUUGACAACUCUCCACCAGGAUGUAUGCUUUCAGCAUAAGCUUUAGCCCACGUUUCUGUCAAGUGAGAAGCAUCAACAAAAAGGUUUUCAUCUCUCUUGAUAUGCUUAGCAGCAGCGAUGGCAUGGAUGCAGGGGAUCUUGUCAAUGUCGAAAACAUUACAUGUGCAGUGCCGCUUCUCCAAGUCAACAACAAACUUCAUUGUUUCAUUCUUCACCUCAAACUCGCUUCGAUCAACUUGAUACACAUUCAACAACAUUGCGGCCCCUAACCUAGAUACCAAUUUCUGCACAACUUUUGGAGUAACCAGGUGCUUAUGUUUCGCAGCCGCUUCGCGUCGCUCAAAAAAUCAAGUGGUCAUCGUCAAUCUGAUAGUUUCAAGGAGAGAGAUAAUGGGCAACUCACAAGGCAUCCUCAACAUAGAAUUGAGAGACUCUGCAAUGUUGGUAGUCAUGAUAUUAUACAUGUUCGCAGGCGCAUAGCUUCGUGCCCACUUCCUAAAAUCAGAAUCUUCCAGAUACUUAGCCAAUUCAGGACAUUUAUCUUUUAUGUCCUUGAAGAUUAACCAGAACUCGUGACACGUAUAGGCAUCAGCAGCGCUUUCCACCAGAGGUAGCAACCCAGUCUUCGCAUAUGUAGGAGUGAUGUUGCGGAGCAGAUGGAUCCUGCAAAUUCUAUGGUGAGAUAAGGGAUAUACAUCCUCCAACGCUGAAGAAAUGGAGUUAGCCCUGUCUGAUACAAAAACAAGAUCCGAAGCAUCCGGGAUCUUCUGGCUCAAACCUCUAAAGAACCAUUUCCAAGAGGCGCCAUUUUCUGCGUCAACCACUGCAAAGGCGAGAGGAUAUAGAUGAUAAUUCCCAUCUUGAGCACAAGCUGCCAAUAAAGUCCCAUUGAAUUUUCCCUUCAGAAAUGUACCAUCUACUGCAAUAACUCUCCUCAUCAAUGAGAAUCCCCUUAUUGAAGGACCAAAAGCCACAAAUGCAUACUUGAACUUUCCUGCAGCAUCCACAUGUUGAUAAGUCAAGGAACCAGGGUUUGUUUCUGUGAUUUUAUACAACCACCUAGACAAAUUGUAAUAGCUGUCUUCAGGAGUCCCUCUAACCAAAAUCUGAGCUUCUUCUCUCACUCUCCAAGCUUGUUUGUAAUUGAUGUGAACACCAUGCAGCAUCCUGACCUGUUCAAUGAUCUGUUUCGGUUUGAGACCUUCCUUUUUUUCUCCAUAAUUGCUGCAAAUCAAAGAACCCAAGAACUUUGCAGAUGCUUGUCUGUGGUUGGCUUUCCUGUGUGUUGUAUCGCAUGUAUGCUCAUGAACAUACUUUUUAACAACGAAAAAAUCUGAAAGAGGUAGCUUGGUAGCACGCAUCCUCCACGUGCAAUUUUCAUCAACACGACUCAAAAGCACUCUUGACUUGUUAGAAGAGACAGUCUUGUACUCAAACUUCCACUCUAAAGCCCAUUUCUUCAUCCUCAACAUCAACUCUCUCUUUGUCUUAAAAUAGCUAUUCACCUUAAUAUCGCCAGCUCCUCUCGUGGUUGGUGAAAGUCCAAUAUGGACAGGGCUAAAAUCCGGAAGAGCAUUCAGAGGAACUGUAGAAACACCUUCAUAUAGAAGACUCUGCAAAAGUCGAGUAGUUCUGUAAGGCAUAAUACUUGAUUAUGAAGCAUAUCAUGCAAACACAAACAGAAAAAUGGAAUUAGGGACAAUGUACCUGUUUUUCUCUCUGCACAGUAGAAAGAAUCAUUGGAUUGGCAUUCAAUGGAACAGGAGAAGCAAAUGUAUCAGAAGCUUGAGUGUUACAGCUAGCUGGAUCAGUACUAACCUGCAAAAGUCCAAUAUGGAUAGGACUAAAAUCCGGAAGAGCAUUCAGAGGAACUGUAGAAACACCUUCAUAUAGAAGACUCUGCAAAAGUCAAGUAGUUCUUUAAGGCAUAAUACUUGAUUAUGAAGCAUAUCAUGCAAACACAAACAGAAAAAGGGAAUUAGGGACAAUGUACCUGUUUUUCUCUCUGCACAGUAGAAAGAAUCAUUGGAUUGGCAUUCAAUGGAACAGGAGAAGCAAAUGUAUCAGAAGCUUGAGUGUUACAGCUAGCUGGAUCAGUACUAACCUGCAAAAGUCGAGUAGUUCUGUAAGGCAUAAUACUUGACUAGGAAGCAUAUCCUGAAAAGUCUAAGGAAGAAAAAAAUCAUACAAACCUUAACACACAAACGACAGGUUCCAUCAAAUGCUCUAGUCUUGGAAAUGAAAGUUCUGAGCUGACGAGUAUUACCUAUCGAGAGUGGGGGGAAACUUUCAAUAAUACAUUUCAUAUCCAAUGAAAUACCAUAACUCAAACUGAUUUCUUCCUCUUUAACACUAAAAUCUUCAGAGACAAUCUUCAUCAAAUCUUCAUACAGUAGAUCUUCUUCUAUGGAAAUGAUUGAUGCAUUCCUCUUCAAAUCAACAAGAAACUCCCACUGGAGAUAUUCUUUUGAGAUCCAUUGUCCACAGAUGCACAAAACUUCCAUUGUUCUACAAAAUCAACUUCAAUUCAUCAACAAAUGAAUAAUAUAUAACAAAAACUAGAUAAUGUAUAACAAAAUGAAAUGAUUCAAACCUUAAUCAAAUCAGACACACGAGAGGGAGAAUGAGAUGAAUAGACGUAGAAACGACAGAUCAAUUGAGAAACGACGACGACGACGAUAAAUCAACGGAGAGGCGAAGACGACAACGGAUCAACGGAGAGGCGAAGACGACGACGGAUCGACGGAGAGGCGAUGAAGACGACGGAGAGACGACGACGAUGACGACGACGGAGAGACGACGACGAUGACGACGACGGAGAGACGACGACGAUGACGAUGAGGGAGAGACGACGAUGACGAAAGACAGCGAUGAGGAGAAGAAGAAGCGAUGAAACGAGGAUGGCGACAAUUAAUUUUCAAAUUUUUGUUUUUAAUUACUCAAAGAAGAGGGCAUAAGGGUAAAUUACCCCUUUAGUGAAACCUAUUUUUGUGAUUUCUGAUACUGAGUGCUAGUUUGGGGAGGAAAACUUUGUUUGGCGUUCUUUGUGUCAUUUUCUCUAAUAUAUAUGUACAUGUGUGUUUUUUGGAAAAAUAACCUUUUUCGUUUAGGUAAAUAAAGUAAAAAUAAUCGAUCAUUUUACCCGUUUGUACCACAUACAAAAAUCAUAUAAAUUAACAACUAUACUGUAUGUACAUAUCAUUUUCAAACAUUACAACAUUAUUCAAAGUCUAGCGUAUAUUAUAUUCAAACAUUAUUAUUCAAAUAAAGUAAUAAAAUUUGCCAACAAAUUAUUCAUAGACCCGUUAUUAACCACAUCAAACAUUGCCACCGAAAAUGUUUAAUUUUAAGAAAAUGAUCGAAUAAAAUUAAUUAGACACCGACGUUAUGCUAGCCACCGCGCAGCUCGAGUGAUGUUCCUCCCGACGACUUCUAUAAGGUACACCGACGUGAAUGCAUUGUAUAUUGAUGUCUCCAACACCGUGUACACGGAUUCACCGUGCUGAUUCUGGUUCCUCUGCUCUGACUUUGGUGGUCCCGUCGAUUUCAAGAGUGUUGUGUUGAUCGGAACAGUUUUCUCCUCGAUUACGAUCACCGUUACGGCGACGAAGUGAUCGGAAGAUUUCUCGCCAGAUGGAAACGCAGAAGCAGGGCUCACCGGAUUGAUGAGUAACAGCGUGGUGGUGAGAUUGGGAUCCCUAGGAGGAAUACUUAAGGGUCCGUUACCGAAGAAGGCGACGCCUCUUCCCAAAGAGAGACAUACGGCGACCUUCCGAUUAAAGCUAAACGUGGCAACUUAACCUCAAUGGUGGAAGAACAGCAACCUGACUUCAGAUCAGAGGAGCUAGCAAUUUGAAGAAAAUAAGUUUACUUUGUUGUUUUUACGGAUUGGGAGAAUGAUUAUCAAGUGAAAAAUACUGACAUUUUUAUAAGUGUAUACACCGCCUCUAAGAAGACAGAAUUGCAUUGAAUGGCAGAUUGUGGGUCGAUAAAGUUAAUAAGGCAAUAAAUGAGAUGAAUCUGUAAUUGGAACGUUUAGCUUGAUUACAUGGAAAACAAAAAGACAUCGUUGUCUGAGUAUUUAUUUGAACGGCGUGGAUGGAGAGACUGGUAAACCCUAAAUUUGGUGUGCAGAUGAAGAAGAUGAUAAAUCACGUUCUGGCUCUAUGGUUCAAAAGAAGCCCAACGAAGCCCCAAAAAAAUGGUAAAACAUGAGACGCACCGUUUUAUUAUAGAGGACACGUGUCACACUAAGGUUGAACGAAUUGAUGAUGUGGACGCACAGGAGAGAUGCGAACAUAUUUAUAUAUAUAUAUACUAGGUCCGGUCCGCGCUACGCGCGGGAUAUGCUUUGUAUGUAAUUAUAUAAUUGUAUAUUUUAUUUGCAUAGUUUUUAUGUAAACUUUUGCCAAGAGCAGUGUAUGUAAACUUUUAUGUUUUUAAAUAAUAUUACGUUAUGUAGUGAUUAUGUAUAAGAUAUAGAUGGUGUUCUUGUUGUAUGUUUUGGAUAAUUAGUAAUCAUAAUUAGUUGGUCAAUUGUGGGUUGCUAUAUUUAUUUCCAAGAAACUAAUUACACAAAGUUCCUUAACCAAUGUUUGUCCCAAUAUUAUGAAGAACAAUAUGUUAAAAGAAUUCACAAAACAUGGCAAGAAGCAAGUGAAAAGAUGCUAAAACAUUAUUCUAGAAGUGGUCGUUGUAGACAAACAUAGUAUCUUCAAUAAGCUAUAUGAAUUCUUAGAGCAUCUCUAAUCCAUUAAUAUUUUUAUUUAUAUAAUAGCAAUUAGAUAUCAAAUUGUUUAAAGCUAUCUCUAUUUCUUCUUUUAUAAUAGAGUUUUGUGUUUUUUACUUCUAUUUAUAGUAAUAUGUUCCAGUGUAUUCUUUUUGGAGGUAGAAAUAGUAAAAUAUUUUGAAGAUAGUCUUAGGUGAUUUAUAACAUUAGUCCACUUUUGUAAAUGAAUUACUCUAGUUUUUCUUAUGAAUUUUUAAUAUGGUAUUUUUUGAUGAGAUUCACAUAUUGUUUUUGCCUAAGUCUGAUGAAACGUGAAAAACAAUAUAGUAAAUGAAUUGUGCUUUUUGUUCUUAUGAAUUUUUGCUAUUUAUUUUUAGAUAUAUAUGUAUCUUUCAAUUAUAUUAUGUUUUUUACUAAAUUAUUAUUAUUGACUAAAUUAUUUAUCAAACUCAAGUUAUAAUAUAUAUUUAAUAAAUGUUAUUGAUUUUUGUUAUAUUUUCUUCUUUUUAAAUUUGGUAAAUAUUUUUUUAAUAUAUGUUUGAGGUAUGUAUAUUUUGGUUUGGGUUUAUUUCGGAUCUCUCUGGGUUCGGUUUAAAUUCGGAAAACCCGUUUAAAUUAUUUAAAAUUCAUAUAUACUUUAAAUUUCUUAAAAGCAAAAAAUAAUAUAUUAUAUAUAAAUUUGAAUAAUGUAUGCCAAAAUUUCUAAAAUUAACAAAAAAAAAAAUAUUUUAGCUUGAAUAUUUAGACGGACAAUCAAUAGAUAUUUCAAGUAUAUUUUGUGUUUUGAGUAUUGUUUAGCUAUUUUAGAUAUUAUAUUUUGACUAUUUGUAUAUAUUUUUGAAUAUGUUGAAAAACUUAAAAAAUAUCUUAUAUAUUUUGGAUAUUUUUUUUUUGAUACUAAAUCAGAAAAUAAUUAAUAUAUUGAAGUAUAUAAAUAUGAUUCUAACCUAUUCGGAUACUCGAAAUAUUUCAGUUUAGGUCGGGUUUGGUUCCAGUUUUCUAAAUACCAAAAUUUUGAACCAGUUCAGAUUUUUAACCAGUUUCAGUACGGAUUCGGUGUUACCUUUUCGGAUCGGAUUCGGUUCUUCGGCCUCGGGUUUUUUUUGCCCAGCCCUAAAUUUGAUUCAUUGAGUGUGGUGAUAAAAUAUAGAAAACAUUUCUGGGAAAUUAAAUUUUUUUCUUUUUGUCAACUUGAGUUUAAUGAAACUAAACAAAAUCGUAAGUCGGAUUUCCUCUGUUUUUGUGAAUUUCUAUCUUUAAAUUUUAAAAUGAUAUAGUUUAGAUUAAAUUGUAUAUUUUAAUUAUUUAUCACAUAUUGAUUAAUGUUUCACCAAGUUCAAUUUGUUUACUAAAUUUUAUCGUAUAGAUAUAUGGUCUAUUUUACUAUUUUGGUGGUCUGAUAAAAGGCCACAGCCAUACUUAUAGAAUGAGUUUAAGAUUGUGCAAUCACCAACGAUCACCACCACUUCGUACAAAAGCACGUAACAAAGACAUAAGUAAUGAAAGGUUUGCUCAGUAGCGUGGUUGGAUGAGUUGAGCAUGCUGAUAGUAAGAGCCGAAACUGAAAACGCAUCGAUAAUAUCAAGAUAAUGAUAAAACAUUUGGGGAAUGAUGUGGUUGCCUUCAGCAUAGCCUUCUUUGGUGCUUUCUCUUGUGUUGGCACAUUGCUUCCGCUGCAAGUCAGCUGAGCAGGUGAAGAUGUUGCUGCAAGUGUUCUGUUAAGGCUGAGUGGAAUGAUAUCAGUUGGAGAGGUUGGAUUGGGAAAAUAGGAAUAUAAGUUAGCGCAAAGAUUUACAGUGGCGGCAGUGACAACUGUAAUAGAGAGGGGGAGAUAUAACAACUUCAACUGCCUAAGAAAAUAGAACGGUGAUUUCAACUUCGAAAGCAGGAGCAGAUAAGUUGCAGUCGCUUAUUACGGUGUGUGUGUAAGAAAUAGUAAGGAGGCAGUGUGAAAGGUGAGAUUACUCAAUGCCGAGAGGUCUAUUUUAUAGGAGAAAAUUAGGAGUAGAGUGAGACAAUUUUGAUAGUUGGAGUUGAUUCUAGACCGUUACGGUACAUGGUCAGAGACUACAAAUGAAGUGUCUUUCUACCAAGAAGCUUCAGACGCUGUCACAUGAAGACUUUUAUUAGCUUCUUCCAAUGAAGUCUGCAGCUCCUUUAUAUCCUCUUCUUGUCUUGUCUCCAUGAGCUCCUGUAGCCUUCUCUCCAGCUCAGAAGGACAUACUCGUUAUUGUUCCUCCAAUGGUCGGACACGUGUCUGAACCUAUUUUCUUCUUAUUCCUCACUCUUCUUUGAAAUUUCACAAUAACAGCUCCGUUAGAGAAGAAAAUCAAGAUAAAUGUUAUGUGGGAGAGAAUACAUAUGAGUUGAGACAAAGAAUCAAAAAAAGUUAAUCGCUUGAAUCUCAAAGACUUUAAUGUCAAGUACUUUACCAUGAGCGUGGAAUACUUACCCUCUUAUUCCAAUCACUUUUCCAGUACAGGCAAAUUCAAUUUCGUACAUUACUAACUUAUUAGAAUCACAUACAGAGUAUAAACUUCCAAUAAAAAACAAAUCAAGUUUGCUGUAAAACCUGAGGCUUGCCUGUGAUGACGAACUGAUUCAGCUCAGAUAUGCUCAGUGGUUCAACCUUGGCGUAUCCUCUCAGCAAUGAAGGUGCUGGGUUGUUCCCACUGUAUUUAGAGAUCAGCCUACAACGAUGUGAAGUAUCACGUGGGAAGGUGUUAUGUAUCAGUAACAUAACAACCGACUGUGGAUGUAAUAACAUAGGAUGCAUUAAACACUUACUCGUAAAAGCAAACCUCCCCUGCAUGAGUCUCUUUGUCGAAAAAUAUAUGUCCCUGACGUGACAUCCUGGAAUGGAAAGAAUUCACGGGUGUUCCAAAUAUAUUUGGUAGUCACAACCAGUAUCAUAAAAAAAAAAUUUAAUAAGUGAUAGAGAUUAAGAAAUUAUUGAUUUAAAUUUCAGAAAGAAUUACACCUCCUACAAUUUUAGGAUUUAUGCUAGUUGCGACAACAACUUUUGGAUCACCAAAGCAUUCAAGUUUGUUGUGGAACGACACAGCUUGUGACUCAAACAAACUCGAAGUCACAUACACAGGUGAUGUGUCAACGUCUAUUCAAAUGUUAAAGUUACAUGAUUUAUGAAAGUUCUGAAUGGCUUCAUAUGAAGUCUAGGAGAUUGUGUACACUUUAGAUAUUUAUUGGUUAGGAGAUUGUGUACAGUUUAGAUAUUUAUUGGCUAUAAUGAUAAGCUUGAGACUGAAAAGCUAAAAAGAGGAUAUACCUGGAAUAUGUAUGUUGGUGUUGGCUAGGCCAAGCAGAGAUCGAGAUCUUGGAGCCUGAAACGCUCCACCGAAAUUGAAGCCGGUUCGGUAAACGCAUCAAAGUUGGUUGGGUCACUGAACCGAAUAGUCAGAAUAUAGUCGGACAGCCUGAAGUUCUGAUUGCAACGAACCACAUAAAAAUCCCCUUAGUGUGAACAUUGAACCAGUUUUGAGACGGUGCCUGAAUAUGGGGAGUCGGCUAACAGUCACGGUGGCUGGCAUCAGAGUGGACUGAAAUAAAUGUGAAAAAGAAAGAAUCAUCAUAACGGUAUCAAAAUAUCGCAUUGCAAAGAGAUUCAAUAGAUAUUUAUAUUGAAGAGUUCAAAAUUUACAUGAAGGCCGGAAACUUAAAAAUACAAUGAUCAUGAGAUUUUAGAUCGGAAAACCUUCGCAUAAAGAACCCGGCUUUCAAAUCACGAAGAAGAACAGAAGAAUUAGACAUCAUACUGGAGAUAAAUUUUUAAGAUUAUCAACGAUGUUAAAGUGAUGAAGUAUUACCUAUUUAUAAUGGGAGGAACACCGCCUCUUACAGUGAUUGAGUAUCAUUGAAUGAGGGCGUCAAUGGAGUUAAGGAGAUUAGUAAAGACACUGAAUCAAGACAAUUCAUAACGUCUCUGAAGAUUCAUGCAAUGAAGACAAAUCGACGAAAUCGAUACAUGACACUCCUAACGACGCUUCAGCUGACUCGACAUGCUGGAUCGCCAUUGCAUGGUUAAGGUCGUAGAAGAUCGAAGAAGGUGAGAUCGAAGAAGACGAUGGAUCCCUAAUUUCAUGAGACGCCUUUCCUAACUAUCUCGGUAUAUCUCUAUAGGGCCUGGUAAUCCACAUUUUGUAUUUCAAAUAAAAGUCCAUGUUAAGCCCAUUAAAAAUCUCAGGUGAAUAAGCAAGCAAAACUCGUUUUUUGUACGACUACAUCUUUUACUGCAGUUUAUUAGGGUUUCACGCAAAUGGGCUUGGAACGCAGAGGACAAUAAGAAGCCCAAUCACACAACAAACCCAUAUAUAUUGUCGGAUGAGUUAAAUGAAGCGCAGUGUUUUGGUCAGUGGACACGUGUCACACCGAGAGACUUCAACUUUAUGACGUGGCUGCUGAGAUGGCGCACAUAGGAGAGAGUAAACCUUAUUUUAUAGUAAUAGAUAUAUAUAUAUAUAUAUAUAUAUAUAUGGGUAAUUCUCCUACAUAGACUAUUUUUCAAGUUUUGAUCACAAAAAUAGACUACAGAAAGAAAAAUGACCAAAAUGUUUCAUUUAAUAGGUAAAAAGAUCAUAAUACCCUAAAUAUAUAAAAAAUAAAAAUAGUUAAAAAAUAGUUUUUUUUUUAUAGUUUUAGAUUAUAUAUUUUCAAAUUCGAACUUUUUUAUAAAUUUUUUUUAUAAAUUUUUUUUUGAAUUUUAUUUAUUAUUUUUCAAAUUUUUUUUUUGUAAUUCGAAAAUAGUUUUUGAAACUAUUUUUAAAAUUUUUAUUUUCAAAUUUUUAAUUUUAAUUUAUUUUAUUUUAUAAAAUUUAAACCUCAAUCUCAAAUACUCAUUCCUCAACUCUAAACCCUAAAAUUUGGAUUAGUUAAUCCUAUGGAUAUAAGUGUAUAUUUUUAUCUUUAAUGAAACAUUUUUCUUUAGGAUCUAUAUUCGUGAAAGAAAUUUUAUUUUUUAGUGCUAUCGUAUUUCCCUAUAUAUUUUGUUGACUCCAAGACAAGCAAAUUGAUUGUGAUUAAACUUUCAAUCUUUUCUUCAUUAAUAAAUAGAAGCCACAGACGAAGAGAAAUUGAAUCAAAAGGGAGAAACCGAAACACAACACAAACAUUCAAACUAUGAUCUUCUCUUCUUGUCUUGUUUGCUUUUCUCCUCCAUCUCUAUAUCACUCUUCGUCACCUUCCUCAUUUUCACCGUUCUUUCAUCGUGACGAACAGUUCACUACAAGAAAACAGGGAGAUUCUGAUGGCCGAAAUCAUCGGAAAUUCGUCGGAAUAGACCGAUUCCGACGAAUUUCCGACGAACUCGUCCGUCGGUAUCGUUUCGUCGAAAAAAAAAAAAUUCGUCGGAAUUUCGUCAAAACUUCCGACGACUUUCUGACGAAUACCGAGAAACGUCAUUCUGACGAACUUCCGACGAUAUUACGAUGCGGAUACACGAGACCAGAGUUCAUCGGAAAACUACUUACCGACGAAGAACGUUCGUCGGACAAUUCCGACGAACGUGGUUCCUCGGUUUAUUCCGACGAACUUUGGGCGUCGGAAUUUACCGACGGACAACGGUCAUCGGAAUAUACCGACGAACCGCGUUCGUCGGUAUAUUCCGACGGAAAUGUGGUUUGUCGGUAAAUUCCGACGGAUAUAUGUCUGUCGGUAUAUUCCAACGACCAUUGUCCGUCGGUAUAUACUCAUUUUUUUUACAAAUUAAUUUUGCAUUUUUAUAUAUUUUUUGAUAUUAAUAAAUUUAAAAAAUCGGAAAUUUAAAACUACUAAUAUUAUAAAAUUUAAAUUCAUAAAAACCGAAAUAGGAAAAAAACAUUCAUAAAGUUUAAAAUUCAUACAAACCGAAAUAGAAAAAAAAACAUUCCGAAAGUUUUAAAAAGCCGAAAUAAACUAAGAUGAACUCGAAGACAUCAAACGAUCUAGCUUCUGCAUAAUCUCGGUGUUGAACUUCUUCUGGGAUGCCAAUUCAGCAAGGAUAGUGGCAUUCUCCGAACGGAUAGUGGCAUUCUCCGAAAGGAUAGUGGUGUUCUGCUCCUCCAAUGCCCCAAUCCGUUCAUCUUUGUCAUGUAGCUCCUCGAGAAUCAUGGGAUCGGCAUACGGAGCUUGCGAAGAAGAUGCCGGAUACGAAGAAGCACGACGGGCCAACCCAACUAAACGGUCUCCUUUCCUUUUAGGAACCGCCUACAAAAAUAUUUAAAGUAAGUAAAUAGGGACAAGUAAGUAAUCGACAUUAUAAAAAAUAUAUAUUAAUAAAAAAAAUAUAUUAAUAAAAAAAAUUACCUUUUCAACCAUCUCAUUUAUUUGCAAUAGAGACAGGUUGGUUGAAGCUCUCGUGGAGUCGCCGUCAUCAGAGAGAGGCUGAGAUUGAGAAACUAUCUCAGCUUCCACCAAAUCAACUACACCUUUGAUCACGGGGUCCUGAAUUUGACCCGUCGUCUUGUUAGUGUGAGCCACCUUAAUGAGUUGGAGACGAUCAACGGGAUUACCGUCAUUUGCUUCGAUCUAAAAAAACCGCCAUUAUUAGCCAAGAAAUAUAUAAAAUAUUUAUUUAAAAAAUAUAAAGAUAAAUAAUAAUAAAAAACUUACAAGUUCAUCCUCCUUAGUAGACAUGGAGCAAGCGCCGAGGUUGUGCACAUACAUACCUUUCCCGCCACGAUCGCUCUUCCGGUUCCUGGAGUUCCUAGAAGACGUCUCUGCAAUGUCUUCCUUCUCCCAAUGAGCUAUCAACUGCUCCCACACCGUCCCGUUGAUGAACCGUGGCUUCUUGUUCUUCUGCCAAACUGUCUUCCACGCGUUUAUCUGCUUUGUGUAAGAGUCCAUAGCCUUUUCGUUGAAUUUCUUACGGACUGUUUCCGUAAGAUCGGAGUGCCAGUUGAACUCUUGCUACAAAACAAACACAAUUUAAUAAGUAAAUAUAUGUAAAAAAAUGUAAAAACUUUAAAAAAAUGAAGAGUUACUAUACCGCAAACUGACGAAACCACAACUCUCGUUCGUCGGAAGGGAUCACACUCCACUUUGGAUAUCCAAAACGGAGCAUGGAAUACAUCAUCUGGUUGAUGCUCCGGCUAAUGCCAUUUUUCGACUUGGUGAACCUUUAAAAAAAAUACAAGUUAGCAAGUUAAUUAAAGGAAAAAAUAUAACGGUACAAAUGCUCCGGCUAAUGCCAUUUUUCGACUCCGACGACUUUGCUGUUAAUCGGAAUGUCGUCGGAAAUUUGUCGGAAUAUACCGACGAACUUCCGACGACUACAACGGUUACAUUUUUAAUCGGAAUGUCGUCGAAAAGUCGUCGGAAAAUUCCGACGAACCAUAUGUCGUCGGAAUUCCGUCGGAAAUGGCCGACGUAAUUCCGACGACUUAAUUUUUUUGGUUUUGGUGGGAAAAAUUAUAUUACGGUUUUACGGUUUUGGUGGAAAACUUGAUAUUACGGUUUUAGUGGGAAACUCAAUUUUAUGGUUUUGACGGGAAAAAUCAAUUUUUUGGUUUUGGCGGGAAACUCAAUUUCACGGUAUUGGCGGGAAAACACGACUUUACCGUUUUGCGGGAAUAUUUGAUUUUACGGUUUUGGCAGACUUUGCGGUUUUGGCGGAAAAACUCGAUCUUACGAUUUUGGAAGGAAAACACGACUUUACCGUUUUGGCGGGAAAAUUUGAUUUUUUAUGGUUUUGGCGGGAAAACACGACUUUGUGGUUUUGGUGAAAAACUCAAUUAUACGGUUUUGGCGGGAAAACUCGAUUAUACGAUUUUGGCGGGAAAGCACGACAUUGUUGUUUUGGCGGAAAAUAAGAUUUUUUUGUUUUGUCGAGAAAACAAGAUUUUGCGGUUUUGGCAGGAAAACAUGAUUUUGUAGUUUCUGUGGGAAAAUGAGAUUUAGCGUUUUGAUGAAAAAAAUCCAAUUUAGAGUUUUGGUGGAAAACUUAAUUUUAUGAUUUUGGCAAAAUUUAUGAUUAAAUUUGGCUUAUUAAAAAGUCAACAUAUAAUAGUUUUUUAUAUAUGAAAAAUUGGGUGUUAACAAAUUUAUAUAUAUGUAUAUGUGAAUAAAUGGGUUAGAUUUAGUGUAUUAAAAUAUAGUAAUAUAUAUGAAAAAAAUAAAUAAAAUUUGGUGUAGUAAAAUUGGUUUAGAAAUUUGUUUUGGUUAUUUUUUGUUUAUAUAUUUGAUUUGAGUUUUUGUUUGUUAUAAAUUUUAUUGUUUUGGUUAUGGAUAACUCAUUAUCCAUUACAAUCCAAACCCAUUUUGAUCAAAUUUACAAAACAAAAAAAGUUAUCCCACAAUUUAUUCAUCUUGCAAAAUAACAAUAAUAAUAGUUUAAGAUCUGCAUCUUGUGCAUAAUGAAUAAUAUAUAUAUAUAAAGUAUUUUUACGUAUUAUUAUUUAUUUUACGUUUUUUACACAUUAUUAAAACUACCAAAAUAAUAAAUAUAUAUGAAAUAAUUGAAAACAAUUAAUUACUACAUAUUUUAUGGAUAUAAUUAAAUUUAAAUGAAACUAAUAAAUAUGUAAUAUAUUUAAUAUGUAUAUCUAAUAAGUGUGACUUAAUCAUAUGGUUUUACGAAUAUAUGUAUAUUUUUAUAAUAAAAAUAAUAAACCCUUGAUAAUAAAAUUUUUAAAGUGAGACUUUUAAUAAUUUUAAUACUUUAUAAUCGUUCUUGAAAAUUCACUUCUUCUUCAAUGUAAAUUUUGAAAUUAAAAUAUUUAUGUAUUUAUAUGGUAUAUACUUGAAUAUAUAUACAUAUAUAUUAUUUUGAAUACUUAUUAGAUGCGGCUUUUUACUCAUAUGGUUUUAUUAUCAUUUAUAUGAUUCAUUUGUAUCUUUUUAUGAUAAAAAAAAUUAAACCAUUGUUCACAAAUGUUUUGAUGUGAGACUUUUAACAAUUUUAAAAAAUUAUAGUUAUUUUUAGAAUUCAAAUUAUAAUAUAUAUGAAAUAUAAAAUAAUAUUAGAUGCUUAAUAUGAUUGUUUAUUUUAUGUUAAGAAUAUAAAAUGAAACAUAAAUGGUUGAAGAUAUGAAAAUUGUUAUCAAAUCUUUAUUAUUAAAAUUGUUAAUUGUCAUAGAUAAACUUUAAUCAUAUUAGGUAAUUUCGUAUCUUUUAUUUAAGGAAUGAAGAAAACACAUUAAUUGUACAUUAUCAAUUACUUUUAUGAUUAGUUUAAUGAAAAAGUAUACUAUAUAUUUAAUAGACCAACAUAUUUUUUUUAGAAAUUUUGAAAAUAUUUUAGCGAUACAUGUGUCAUUGAUAAAAUGUUAUAAUGUUUCUCUUUUAAUUUAUAAAAGAUUAGUCAAAUCAGGAAAAGAAGACUUGCAAAUUCCAAGUCUAAACUCUUCUCACCGUCACUGUGUUCGGGAUCCGAUACAUCCAUUGUGGGAGAACGGACAGGGCAAGGCCGAUGAAUGUAUUUUCGAAAGAAAUAACAGCUCUUGGGUCGUGAGCGGGAAUCAUAGUGCGACCGUCGCUUGUAAGGUCAAACUGAUUGUACAUCACAGACUUGCCGUUGUGUAAGUUAAUAUAUAGCAAACUUUUUUCUCUCUCGCUCCAAAAGUAGGCUGUUUUCGCAUCAAAUGGGUUUAUCGUCAUCGGAGCAUAGUUGAAACCACCGGUGAAGAUAGAACCUGGGGAGAUUUGAGAUAUUAGUUGCCAUCCCUCACUCUGAAGCCUCCAUACACACAACUAUAGGCUUCCAUCCACUUUGGUUGUAGAGACUAUGUUCAUAUACAUGAGAAAACCAUGACAAGGUGUACAACAACAAGCUCUAUCGAAUUUGAUAGUUUUCUCUAAAUCAGGAAAAGGUGAAACAUGGCAUCGAUCAGAACCCUUGCUAUUAGUAUAUAAAUCCAUGGAUAACACAACGUCUUGAUAGUCAUUGUUUUUGGCGAGCCAGUGAAGAUUACUGUUCAAGCUAAUCGAAUCUCGAGAAUAAUAAUAGUUGAAAAGGAAGUAUCGUCCAGACUCCACAGGCCUGUCUCAGAUGAAUAUAUCAGACAACUUAAUAUAGUACCACCCAAGCUUUGAUUAAAGACAACAACUUUGUAACCCAAAAGGAUGCCGUUCUCAUCAAUUCGUGUGGCUAUUCCCCCUUGCGAGAAACAUAAUUGACUCCUUUCAAGAAGAGGAUCAAGAAAUAUUUCUACGCAUUCAUGUGAAACCGGGUUAGCCACAUAGAGGGAUGAAUUCUCCUCCUUGAUUUUUGAUAUUGCACAGAUCAAGAUCAACCCAACAUCGGAGUACGCCACGACAUUUACUUUUUGGUAUUUUUGGUUCGGGUUCUUGUCGUUUAAGACAGACUUGAUGAAAGAGCUCAGUGGUCGUUUAAGUCCCCAAAUGUCGCAUUGGUGGUAGUAAUCCGCCAUCUCAUCUAUGCCAUCAGUGGACAUGAGCGACCAUGAAGAAGAAGAAGAACAGGCCGAGUUUUGGUGCAGAGACAGGAAAAGAUUAUGGAAAAACGGAGACACUACGAUUGAUUUCCACUGUUUGCAAACAAGUUUGAAACAUGUGAAAAUCUUAAUCGGUAAUCUCGCUAGUGCCAUCGUCCACAGAUCAUAUGUCAAGGAAUCCAUCUUCGUCUUAAUUUAUUUCAGUUGCCCUUUUUCACUAGUAUUAGUGUUUUUCUCUGUUGCUAUGAACUUUGUAAAUCAUCAGAUUUAUAGGAGUUUUUUUGUUUAAAGAGGGGGGGGGGGGGGGGGGNNNNNNNNNNNNNNNNNNNNNNNNNNNNNNNNNNNNNNNNNNNNNNNNNNNNNNNNNNNNGGGGGGGGAGGGGGGUAGAUAUCAUUAGAUCUUCCAUGAAUAUCGUUCUAAUAUAAUUUAAUCUAACUUUUUUUAAAAAGCUUAAAUAGAUUUCUAUAUUAGUGAAGAGAUUUAAAGCAAAAGCAAUUGUACUCCCUACAUCCCAAAGAUACCCUAUUUGCAAUCCAUACCCUAAAUCCCUCCAUUUUUCUUCCUCCCAUCACUAUCAUUUUCCCUCAUUUGUAUGGUAUCACACUCUUAUAAGUAUAUUGAGCUAAUUAGCUCUUAAAGCAACUCCAGAAAAGAGAUCUGGUGACAAAUGGAUGUGAUACUUUUCCUUUCCAAAAAAAAAAAGAAGACAAAUGAAUGUGAUGACAAAGUAAUUAAAUUAAAUAAUUAAAUUAUAGUUGUGAUGACAAAUGGAGUGAAAAUUAUAAAAACACUACCAAACUGAAUAUUGGAAAUAAUCAGCUAGUAGUUUAUGAACCAGAAACUACUAAACUGAAGUUCUCAAGUUGGAAAUAAUCACUUAAACUUUAAUUAUUAUUUUUGUUUCAUUUUUUUAGGAUCUUAUUUAGAUUUUAUGAAUGUAUAAUACUUAAACGAGAUUUAAAAAAAAAAGAGAAACUAUUCUUAUGUUCUUUUUAAUUUUUAAAUAAUUUUAAAAAUAUCCACUAAAAACAUUGGACAUGUUUUCAAAAGAUCUUACUAUCAACAUUUUAAAUAUACAAAUUACAAAAUUAAAAUAUCUAAUUUUAAUAAAUAUUUGUGAUUUUUAAUAUCUUUGUAAUGUUAGAAGUUUCAGACUUUCUAAAAUUUUAAUAUUAACUUUAACUAAAUUAAUAAUACGAAUUUAAAUAAUGUCGACAUAUAUAUUUUCAACCUCUGAAUAAAACUCAUAUUCUACACAUUGUUCAAAUUGAAACAGGUCAUUUUCCAAAGAUAUGGCUGGAAGGAUAGAGUUUGCUCCUUCUCGCUUUCUUCUUCCAACACUAUUAGCUGAUUAUUUCCAAUACUUGGAAGAUGAUGAAGAGAAAGUAGUCACUAUGAGCGUAGCAUCUUUCUCGCUUUCUUCUUCCUCUUUGACAAAGGUUCGAAUGGUAAAAGUAGUUCAAGCGUUGCAUACAUUACGUAAUGAUUACAAGUUUGUGAAAAUAUAUUCUCUCUUGUUUCACGAAAAGUAUAUUGAUGCCAAGUUAAUCGGGAAAUAAAAGAAGAAAAGAAUCAUUUAGGUUUGAGUCGUUUAAAUCUAUUUCUUAAAACAAACUACUAAAUUAUAUGUUUGGAUCUGAUAUGCUGACAAUGUUUACGAAUUAUAUAUAUACUAGGUAAUAACCCGCGCCUUGCGCAGAAUAUGAUUAUUAGUUUCGUUAUUUUUAAUAAAAACACACUAAAUCUGUUUAAUCUGGAUAUCAGUUAGGUUUUAAGUUAUUUUUUGGUUUUUAAUCACCUAAAAUAUAACUAUUAUUUUAAAUUAAUAUUUAUUUUUGUUUAUUCGGUUAGAAUGUUUGAUUUUUUAGUUUUUUCGGUAAAAACCAAAAAUUACUAUUAUUUGUUUAUUUUCAUGUUAUGAAUUUUAGAUAGUCGUCAUGUCGAACCAAUGGUUUCAUAUCAUAGUUUGUAAACGGAUAAUAGUUCAAGAAAAAGAAAAAAAAAUUAUUAAGACAAAUCAUUUCACUACAAUUUGGUCAGUAGUGAAAGAAGCAUCAAGAAAAAAAAUAUUUCAACUUCCAAAAAAAAAUAGAUACUUCAGUUUUGGUAAAUACUUAGUCACAAGGUGCAAAUGUAUGUGUAUGUAAAAGUAUAUAAAAAUAGUUGACAAAUACAUAAAGAUAUUGUUAAUUAAUAUUAAAUGACAUUUUUGUUCAAAAUAAUACAUGAAAGAUAAAAUUAAAAAUUAAAAAGGCCUUGACAUUAGUGAAUUUUUUUCAUAUAAAGAAAAAUAAAUUGUAUCCGUAAAUAGAGGUGGACACAUAUCGAAUAUCCGGGUAUUUGGAGGCAUUCAUGUCGAUUCAAUCUUUAGCCACAUGGAUACUCGGCGACUCUGAUAUCCGAAAUGAUUUAGGAUUUUAAAGAAUAUCCGAUUUGAUCCGUAGAUAAAAUAAAAUUUUAAAAAUAAUUGAAAAUUUUAAUAAUAACAUUUUAUUACAAAAAUAAAAAUAAAAUAUUAUUUAACUUUUAAAAUUUUAAUACCUAAUAUAAUAAAUUCAAUUCAUAAAAAUAUUGUAAAACUUAUAUAAACUAUAAUAUAUAACAUAUAUAUAUAUAUAAUUCUGUACAUAUAUGUAUAUAUAUGCAUAUAACAGAUCGAAUUAGAUAUCCGUUCCUAAUAAUAUUGGUAUUUGUGAUUUGUUUUUUUUUUAUUGUAUUUUAGCAUUUGAUUUGCUUCGUAGAGUUAUGGAUAUCCAUUUUUUUUUCAAAUCAAAACGGAUAACGAAUCAAAUCAAAAUUUAUAAGUAUUUUGUGCAACUUUAUUCGUAAACAAUAAAAAUAAUAUAUAUAGUUUAACUUUUGAUUCAAACCGAAAAAUUCAAAGUUUUAUUGAAACCAUGCAUGUGAGUUUUAUAUUAAAAAAUACGAAAAAUAUAGUGUGAACACAUUUAUGAAUAUAGUGUGAAUGCGUUAGCAUAUUUAUUAUCAAAUCAUUGUGAGGUUGUCACGUGUCUAUUAUAGUGUGAAUGCAUUUAUUACAAUACUUCUCCUUUAAUAUAUAAGGGAUAUGUUGCCAAGAAACUCGGAAGAUCGAUAUAUAAGGGAAUAAGAGAAACUUUUUUUUUGUUCACAACCGACCGAUUUCAUUAAUUAGCUUAAACCAGGGCCGGUAUAGCAUCCUGGUUUAGGCAAAAGUCAGCAAGAACUUUCUUCGCUACAGAGUCUUCGAAGAUUAAACAUUCCCUACGACAAAAUCUAAAGGAAACUGAAUCAAAACAAUCAGAGAGACAAUAGAUGUCCGAUAUGAUGCCAUGAAGAUUGGAGAAGCUCGAUACCUCUGCAAUCCCCGUCACCAGCUGAAGGGAAUCGGAUUCAAAUAGGACACAUUUCAUCUGUAGGGAGAUUGCAUGUUCCAUUGCUGCGCGAAUUGCUAGUCCUUCAGCCACGAGGGACGAAAUCACAAACGCUGAAGAUAGAUUGUGAGAGCUAAUUCUCUCAUUCUGAUUUUGGUAGAAACUCCAAGCUAAUCCAGCCGUUUUAUGCUCCUGUUUCCACGCUGCAUCUGUUCUGCAUAUCACUUCAAACCCUUCUCUAACUUGUGGAUGUUUCUUAUGUGGGGAGGUUAGUGCGACUGUCUGGGCCUCCAGCCAUUCUUUCGCAUCCACAAUAGCUUUUGUUACUGUCUCUUGUUCAGAGAAUGAUCUUUUUUUGAAAAAGUUUUUGGUUUCGUGCUGCCCAGAGUGACAAGAGGAUCCAAGGUGGUAGAGGACAUUUACCCAGGCCCACGGGAGGAAGUGUUACUGCUUGUAGCAGUUUUUUCCAUUCAACAUCGAAGCUAUUCUGAGGCAAUGGUGUGAAUUCGCCAGAGAAAGGUAUUAAUUCCCAAACUUUUUUUUGCAUAGGGGCAGUGGAAGAACAUAUGAUUUAUAGUUUACUCUCCAUGACAAUGAACGCAUUUAGCCUCUGUGAUGAUCUGUCUUGCCUCCAGUCUGUCCCCUACUGGUAGUGCUCUGUGUUUGAUUUUCCAAAUGAAUAGCUUGAGUUUUGGAGCAGUCUGAAUUUUCCACACUUCUUUCAUCCAUUCUUGUGUGAGAUGUGUUGUCAUGGUUUCUGUUUCAGCUCGUUUUUCCAUUGCUGAGUGAUAGCGUCCUGCCAAGAUAGUACCUUAUCUCCGUUUCCAAUGGCUCAUCCUAGGUGUUGUUUUAGGAGAUCUCUUCCUAUAAGGAUCCACACCAGCCAUGUGAACAGCUUGCAGGAGGUGUAACUUGGAGAAACUCUUGAUCAUGGAAAUACUUUCCUUUGAGAACCCGAGCUAGUAAGCAGGAGGGUGAUUCCAGUAUGUGCCAGCUGAGUUUGGCUAAGAGGGCAUCAUUGAAGCAUUGUAUAUCUCUAAAACCUAAGCCUCCAUCUUUCUUAGCUCUUGUCAUAGUGUCCCAAGCUACCCAUGACAUUUUCCGGGUUCCGGUACUUGAAUCCCACCAAAACCUAGUCAACGCUAACUGUAUUCUCUUACACAGCGAGAGUGGGAGUUUAAAGAAUUGCAUGGUAUGGUUGGGUAUAGAAGAGAGGACACUCUUUAGCAUGGUCAUUUUGCCAGCAGUGGAGAGGUGUCUUGUGCUCCAUCCUUUAGCUCUUUGUCUGAUCUUGUCGACAAUAGAUGUAAAUAGGUCUUGUUUCUUACGCCCAAAGUGUUCAGGCACACCUGAAUAUUUUCCAGCCCCUCCUUCUACCUGUAUUCCAAGUUCAGCUUUUAUCUUCUCUUUGAGUUCAGUAGGGGUUCUGCUCGAGAACGUGAUGCCCAAUUUUUGAUGAUUUAUCUUCUGACCGGAGGCUGUUUCAUAUUGGCAAAGAAUGUGCUUCAAGGUGGAGAUACUUUUGGCAUUUGUUCUGCAGAAGAAGAGGGUGUCAUCCGUGAAUAGAAGAUGAUUGAUUUUUGGGCUUUGUGUGGCUACACGGAUGCCCAUCAUAUGCUUUUCAGCUUGUGCUUUCCUACAUAGGCCUAAGAGAACUUCGCUGCAGAGGAUGAAGAUAUAUGGGGAUAAAGGAUCUGUGGCACCCCCGAUCGUAGAUGACCGAAAAUGGCACGGUCGAUGUUCCUCGAUGGUCGAUCAGAGAAUCUCAGAAUACUUCGAUCACCUUAGACCAACAACCAAAGAACACCAACGCUCCUAUUGAAUAUCACUCUAGGCUUUUCAACCCGAAAAAGCAAUAUCCGAUAGUUAGUUCGUCCGGAGAAGGACUAAUAUCAUAUGGAACCUGUACUUUAAAAACAUUCUUUAUAUAUCAUUUAAAAGCUUCUUACAAAAUUUGUUAUAAAAUAACCUCGAGGUUUUCGGUCAACAAAUCUUAUACAUAAGAAAUAUCAAAACGCCUUUGCAAGGAUAAUAAAACUACCGCUGGCUAAUGCUGUUCCUUUCCGUCCUAGAGUAAGGUCUCCCGUCUACUGGUUACCUGCAUCACAAAUAAGUCAUGAGUAACUAGUUUACUCAGUGAGCCUAGUCCCGCACCCCAACGUAUAUUAGUAAUAUCUCGAGCAAUCAAAUCCAUUUGUAUGCAAUGGAAAUAUAUUCCAUAACUAAUAAGAAUGCAUAUAUAAGGCCUAUAGUUUCACCGAUGUGAAUCUUAUCUUUAAUCUCCACGACACCCGCCAUUCACUCAUACUUAUAAUAUAUAUAUAUAUAGACUAAACCCAGAAAACCACCAAGGCUAACCGAGCCUAGCGGGGAGAUAAAUAUAACCAUCAUUUACAUUAUAUAUUCCAAGAUCGAACAUCUAACGCUGCAUGCAGUUACACGGCCUCCAGGGUGCCACCCCAUCAUCGUGUCUUUGUGAUCUUGUUCCGUAUGGCAGGAACAAUUCACGGUAAUGCGAGAACUUUCGGGAGAGUGAGUAUACAAUAAGACUUCACAUGAUUUAUACUUAUAUAGUUAAUAUCAUACAUAUGUAUUAGUACUUGAGAACAAGUACUAAGGUUUGGAAUAAACAUCUACGAUCAUUCAUAAAUAUUUAUUAAGUGUUUACACUAAGUAAACACCUCACUAAUUCAAUAUUGAUCAAGAGAUAAAGCCUAUCAAUCAUCUACAUUUUCAAUCAUGCAACACUAAUUUAUAACUCUUUAAUCAUCUAUCUAGACUCACCUUUAAAUCCAUGAGAUUGGCUAGGGAAGACUAUACUCGAGCUCAAGCUAAUCACACUCGACUUCUGGAAUAUUCUCUAUUUAAAAACACCACAAGGAUCCGGCUGAUCCAAACCAUAUCCUUGACCAUCUGUACCAAUAACAUAAUGGUUGGAACAAAGGUUAAUCAGUCUGGUUCAACCCCACAGUUCAAGAUUCAGGACAGCUACUAAGGCAAGUUCAAGGCAGCUUUUGUUCGCUUCAAACAUAAAUCGUUUCAGCUAAGUUGUCUAGAUGCUAGGGGACCAUGAACUGAACUAAUAUAAAUUCACACAAGGGAUUAAGAAAUUAAUCCAGAGAGGAAGAACAACAACUCAGCCAGCUGGUUACAAUCUAAACUGAUCUAAAUCAAAAGGCAAAACAGUUUACCGGUUCAAAUCAAACACUGUCUGAACUCAACUGAUACUCCACUUUAAGAUGAAGCCACGCCAAACCUUAUCAGUACCACAUCAAGAAAAGGUCGGACUCAAUCAGAACAAAGCUGAAUCGCAGUCAAUCCAACAUAAAUGCUCACAUAAAACUGAUCCACACAUCAACUUACAUCUUUACCGACUAGAAUCAAAGGCUGAAGAACAUGGGUGAUCCUAAACUUCAGGACACCAACUCUCCAACUCUUUACCACACAAAUACUCACUGACUAAAGUCACAAGAUGGUGAGAAAGGGUCGUCCAAGCUCACUUCUCUUCUCUGAUUUUUUCAUUGAUUUUCCUCACAGAUUUUUCUCUCUUUCUCUCUGAAUUUUUCUUUCUUGUUUCUGAGAUGAAUGAGCUCGACCAGGAAGAGGACAAGGUAAUAAAUGACAGGGGAAACAGCAGGAGAAGAGUCAGAAAGAAAGGCCAAAAGUUUCAGAUCAGUAUGAGACAUGUGGUGAGCUGAAUCACAGUUUCCUUCCCAUGAAGUAAUGUCAUUUCCUUUCCAUGAAGAAACUUCAAGCAGGUGUGCAACUCACAUGAAUUUAAUGUAGCAAACAAGCAGGAAGUUGAAAUCACCGUUCUAUUUUCAAUCGCUAUCCAUUUGUAUGCAAUGGAAAUAUAUUCCAUAACUAAUAAGAAUGCAUAUAUAAGGCCUAUCAUUCUAUCGAUGUGAAUCUUGUACCUCGCUUCCUAUUCCCGUAUUCCAUAUCACUCAUAUAAUCAUACAUAUAUAUAUGCUAGACCCGAGAAACCACAAAGGCUAAACUAGUCUAGCGAGUUAGCAUCACCAUCAUCGUCGAAUGUCCAAUAUGAACAUCUGACACUGCGUUCUAGACCGAGAGAACAGGUUUCGAUGGCCCAUUAACCGUAAACGGUCGGAGCGUUCUAGACACCAAAGCGAUAUAUACCGUUAUUACGUUUGAUUGAAUUCAUUUUAGGUGUUACAUAUAUUUGAUUGAUUGUUUCUAUUGAACAUAAGGAUUUGUAGUGGAAGAGAGUGAUAGAGUUUACAAAUCCCUAACUCUUUUAUUGAACAGAAACAUGAUUACAAAAAUGAUAAGCAAACAACUUUGAGCUUGACUCCGGCUAGACUCUCAUGGCGAGAUUCACCUUCGUCACCGAUCUUAUGGCGUUCGGGUUAAGAUGACUCAUGGUGUCAAUCUACAGCAACAUUAAAGCAUAAUCUUCAUUUUCCUCUUUUCUUCAUUUUUAUACUCUUUUCCUUCUCACGAGACGCUUCAAUCCUCCGUAACAGUAAAGCUUCUCACUCGGCCAGAGUAUUCUCUACCAUUCUUCAUUUGGCCACGUCAGGGUGAGAAAGGGUCGUCCAAGCUCACUUCUCUUCUCUGAUUUUUUCAUUGAUUUUCCUCACAGAUCUUUCUCUCUUUCUCUCUGAAUUUUUCUUUCUUGUUUCUGAGAUGAAUGAGCUCGACCAGGAAGAGGACAAGGUAAUAAAUGACAGGGGAAACAGCAGGAGAAGAGUCAGAAAGAAAGGCCAAAAGUUUCAGAUCAGUAUGAGACAUGUGGUGAGCUGAAUCACAGUUUCCUUCCCAUGAAGUAAUGUCAUUUCCUUUCCAUGAAGAAACUUCAAGCAGGUGUGCAACUCACAUGAAUUUAAUGUAGCAAACAAGCAGGAAGUUGAAAUCACCGUUCUAUUUUCAAUCGCUCCCAUAUCUUGUGUAGAAAAUUCUACUUCUUGAACUCUUGAGAUCUGUCCAACUCGAUCUCACCUCUCUGAAGUAAUUCUUGACUCUCGACCAACAACUCAUCGCGUUUAUCUCCAAAUAGCUUGCUACCAAAUCCUUCAUGUAAUUCUCUGAGCAUUGGCCACGUCAAUGUUUUGCUCUGGGUGUUUCAUCCCAAAUAUGCCUAAAGCCAAAGUAUACCUCAAACGGUUUAGUCUUUCUUCAGUAUCCUUUGGUCCCAACUUCUUCUUCUUUGCAUCAUAAGCUUCAUGAUAUUCCGUUGCAAACAGAAUGCUUCUGGUGCUUCCAUCAUCUUGUAAUACAGUCAAACCAUCUCUUCCUCCAACGCUAAGCCUGAAACAAAUGCUUAAGAAAUCAUGCUUGUAUGGCUCUGGUGCUUGUAUGUCCUAGCAUGAGCUGGUUAGACUUGAGAAGCCGGAAGAAUAAGUGCAUCUGAGUGAUCAUGUGCAUUCGAAUCAUACUGAAUCGGAUCACAAACAAUACCCACCUUGACAUCGAUAACACACGAGUCCGGAGAUGUAUUUGAUGUAUCAAUUAUGUUCCAAAAAUCUCUCUAAAGUAUUAGCAUACCCCACUAAAACUCAAAAGAACGGCAGGAAGGCAUGAGGUUACUGACUCCUAGCAGGAUGGUAGUGAACCCCACCAUGAGGGUAGCAAACUCGAGCCUGAUGAUAGUAACAUCGGUAAGUAAGGUCAAUCCGUUCAAGCUUGUCUCGGUGCUUCUGCUAUGAAAGAUCACUGUUAGGUAACUACCCAUGACUAUCUAUUCUAAAAUGAAGGAACCAGCCAGCAUAUCCUAGUUAUCCUUGCGACUCAUUUUGACUCGAAAAACAUUUGAAACAAGUCCCAUUCUAGCAUCGUAUAACCAUGCUCUGAUACCACCUUUGUGAAUCAAAACGCCUUUGCAAGGAUAAUAAAACUACCGCUGGCUAAUGCUGUUCCUUUCCGUCCUAGAGUAAGGUCUCCCGUCUACUGGUUACCUGCAUCACAAAUAAGUCAUGAGUAACUAGUUUACUCAGUGAGCCUAGUCCCGCACCCCAACGUAUAUUAGUAAUAUCUCGAGCAAUCAACUCCAUUUGUAUGCAGUGGAAAUAUAUUCCAUAACUAAUAAGAAUGCAUAUAUAAGGCCUAUAGUUUCACCGAUGUGAAUCUUAUCUUUAACAUCAUCUCCACGACACCCGCCAUUCACUCAUACUUAUAAUAUAUAUAUAGACUAAACCCAAAAAACUACCAAGGCUAACCGAGCCUAGCGGGGAAAUAAAUAUAACCAUCAUCUACAUUAGACAUUCCAAGAUCGAACAUCUAACGCUGCAUGUAGUUACACGGCCUCCAGGGUGCGACCCCAUCAUCGUGUCUUCGUGAUCUUGUUCCGUAUGGCAGGAACAAUUCACGGUAAUGCGGGAACUUUCGGGAGAGUGAGUAUAUAAUAAGACUUCACAUGAUUUAUACUUAUAUAAUUAAUAUUAUACAUAUGUAUUAGUACUUGAGAACAAGUACUAAGGUUUGGAAUAAACAUCUACGAUCAUUCAUAAAUAUUUAUUAAGUGUUUACACUAAGUAAACACCCACUAAUUCAAUAUUGAUCAAGAGAUAAAGCCUAUCAAUCAUCUAAAUUUUCAAUCAUGCAACACUAAUUUAUAACUCUUUAAUCAUCUAUCUAGACUCACCUUUAAAUCCAUGAGAUUGGCUAGGGAAGACUAUACUCGAGCUCAAGCUAAUCACACUCGACUUCUGGAAUAUUCUCGAUUUAAAAACACCACAAGGAUCCGGCUGAUCCGAACACUAUCCUUGACCAUCUGUACCAAUAACAUAACGGUUGGAACAAAGGUUAAUUAGUCUGGUUCAACCCCACAGUUCAAGAUUCAGGACAGCUACUAAGGCAAGUUCAAGGCAACUUUAGUUCGCUUCAAACAUAAAUCGUUUCAGCUAAGUUGUCUAGAUGCUAGGGGACCAUGAACUGAACUAAUAUAAAUUCACACAAGGGAUUAAGAAAUUAAUCCAGAGAGGAAGAACAACAACUCAGACAGCUGGUUACAAUCUAAACUGAUCUGGAUCAAAAGGCAAAACAGUUUACCGGUUCAAAUCAAACACUGUCUGAACUCAACUGAUACUCCACUUUAAGAUGAAGCCACGCCAAACCUGAUUAGUACCACAUCAAGAAAAGGUCGGACUCAAUCAGAACAAAGCUGAAUCGCAGUCAAUCCAACAGAAAUGCUCACAUAAAACUGAUCCACACAACAACUAACAUCUUUACCGACUAGAAUCAAAGGCUGAAGAACAUGGGUGAUCCUAAACUUCAGGACACCAACUCUCCAAUUCUUUACCGGAAAAAUACUCACUGAUUAAAGUCACAAGAUGGUGAGAAAGGGUCGUCCAAGCUCACUUCUCUUCUCUGAUUUUUUUCUGAUUUCUUUCUUUGAUUUUCCUCACAGAUUUUUCUCUCUUUCUCUCUGAAUUUUUCUUUCUUGCCCAGCUAGCAUAUCCUAGUUAUCCUUGCGACUCAUUUUGACUCGAAAAACAUUUGAAACAAGUCCCAUUCUAGCAUCGUAUAACCAUGAUCUGAUACAACCUUUGUGGCACCCCCGAUCGUAGAUGACCGGAAAUGACACGGUCGAUGUUCCUCGAUGGUCGAUCCGAGGAUCUCAGAAUACUUGGGUGUGCAACUCACAUGACUUUAAUGUAGCAAACAAGCAGGAAGGUAGUCAGGAAGGAAGCAAGCAGCCAGGCAGCACAUGACAUGCACAUGACUCGCAAGCAGCUGAAAGUAUUCAAGACCAGUUUUCGAUAAAAUGUUUCCCGUCCAUCGGUUCUCGUCCAUCUUAGAUAAAACUCGACCAUAAUAAUUAACAUUUGGUCAGAACUAUUAAGAGUAGGUAUUUUGGCCACGAGACAGUCCCAUCAAGAAUAAUUCACCGGGUUGAUUUUUAUUUUUAAUUCUGGUUGAACCAACUCCAAACUGGUCGAGCGGGAUUUUUCACGACCAAAAUUCUAUCUGCUCGUGAGGGUUAUUACAUGAUCUCCUUGCCUAAUACCUCUUUGGGGUUUCACCCAUCCCAUAGCAGAGGCAUUGAUUAGAAACGAGUAGGAGACUGUAUUCACACAUUGCAUGAUCCAAUUGACCCAAAUGGGAUGGAACCCUAGAUGAAUCAUCACUUCCUCAGUAAAAUCCCACUCCAAGCGAUCAUAGGCUUUGCUCAUGUCAGUUUUUACUGCCAUAGAGCAUCGCUUUGAUGCUGUAGAUGUCUUAAGAUAGUGUAGGACCUCGUGUGAGAUUAGAAUGUUAUUAGUGAUGGCCCUGUCGUGGAAAAAGGCUGAUUGAUUCUCAGAGAUCAAGUCCGGUAGAACCUUCUUGAGUCUGUUUCCUAGCAGUUUAGAGAUUAUUUUGUAGUAGACAUUGCAUAGCGCAAUUGGUUUAUAAUCUGCAACUGUUUGGGCUUCAGUAGUCUUAGGGAUCAGACGAACAUGAGUGUGGUUUAAGGUUCUUGGCAUUACACUGGAGGAGAAGAAGGUUCGAAUUUCGGAAACUAUAUCAGCCCCUACAGUGCUCCAGUUAGCUUGGAAGAAACUUGCUGAGAAACCAUCCGGACCAUGGGCUUUGUCCGGAUGGAUAGCAAGUAGCGCCAAAUGAAUUUAUGAUGCAGUUGGAAUGGUGGUGAGCUCUUGGUUAGUUUCCGGUGAGAUUUUGUUGUUUAGAGCUUCUGCAACCACUUGCCUUCUGUCUCCAGGGACUGUUUUGAAGAGUUUUUUGAAAUAGUCAACUAUCGUCCCUGCAAUCUCUUGCUCAGUAAAAACAGGGUUGCCUUCAGCAUUCUCCAUAACAUAAAAGUUGUUUUUUGCCAGGGAAUAAGGGAAACAUAUACGUAUGUUUCACCUAGUUCUAGAACUGGAGUAUCUCAGGAUUAUAUUAUCCUUAACCCUGUGGCGAUGCUUUAUUCCCAAGCUACUCGUCCACGACCCUUCCACAUCCCCCAAACUUACUAGUUCCUCAAACCCUCCUAAUCUCAAUUUAAUACAUUAUACUUUGAUCUAGUUUAUUUGUUAUCACAGCUCUUAUUUCAGCUGAAUUAUGGUAUCACUCUUUGAUUUAUCAAUGCAGUCCAUCAAUGUAAGAGGUUAUGUUUUCUCAAGUAAGGGAACAGAGUGAUUUUAAUGUUUUUUUUCUUUUGUUUAAGGUAAUAGAAAAUCACAUUUUAACUUUCUUUAGCCUAUCCAAGCACAAAAAUAGUUUCAUGAAAUUAUAUGUAAACCAAUCGAAAAAGAAAAGUGUUUCCUAUCCAAUAAAGCAAAGGAUCGCAUAUGUUCGAGGAAAAAACUAUGCAUGCGUGUAGGAUCUGUUCUUUUCUUGCUGUUUGCUUAUGAAAUCUUUAACUUGUCGCAUAAAAUUAGAAUAUUUAAUGUAUAAGCUAAGUUGGUGUAUAUAUAUACACAAAUAAACAUGCUCGAUAUUAUUACAAUCAUUCAUCACAAUGAUUAGAAUAAAAUUACCAACUCACAAACACCCUUUGUACCCUACGCCUUGGGUUAGCCGUUGCGAGGGUUGCCCUCGGAGAGGUGGUUACGUCAAAGACGGUUAUCGUUGCUAUGAGUGUGCUAUUUCCUUUCACAAAGAAUGUGCAGAGGCAACCUUAGAGAUCCACCACCCAUCUCAUCAUGCACAUCCUCUCUCUCUCGUUUUGGAGUGGCGCUGACAGAAAUAUUGUAAGUUAUGUGGAGAAGAUUUGUUUGAUAAAAUAUAUUACCAAUGCUCUAUAUGUGAUUUCGUUGUUCAUACGGCUUGUGCCAAAAAUCCCCCACCAAAUGUUAUUGAAUAUCCCAAAGCCCAUGAACACUCUCUUGUUAUCGAGAAGGGUUUUUAUCAUCCCAGAUGUAAUUUUUGUGGAGGGGGAAGUCGUGAUAUGUAUUAUUACAGAUGUUCUCUAUGUAGUUUGAAUUUCGAAAUCAGGUGUUCAAUGCUUGCUUUAGAGAUAGAUUACCCAUAUCACCCUAAACACCCCCUUAAAAUCCUCACCAAGGAAGAACAUCAUUUCUCUGAUGGUAAAUGUCUUAUUUGUGGAGAGGAAUUAAGGUUGAAAUUUUAUCAUUGUUCAAUCUGUAAGUUUAGUGUGGAUGUUGGUUGUGUGAGGGAUCCUCCACCGCUUACAAUCUUAUUUCCUAAGGCUCAUGAACAUCAACUCAGCCUUACACCAAGGAAAAUAUCUUUUCACUGUGAUGCUUGUGGGAUUCCGGGUGAUCGGAGUCCUUAUUCAUGCCAACAAUGUUAUUUCAUGAUUCAUCAAAGCUGUAUUGACUUACCGGAGAUCAUCAACGUCAACCGUCACGAGCAUCGUCUUUCUAGACGUCUUCAUCUAAGUCCUGGGAGUUGGGUAUGCAGAUUUUGUCACAAAAACGUUGACUGGUCUUAUGGGGCGUUGAUAUUCCGUGUUUUUAACGGUUUUAAACUCGUUUUGGAGCAAUUAAAUGGUCGGUUUUAAUUAAUGUUUUGGUCUAUUUGAUGCGUUUUGGUGUUCUUAAGUGUAAUAUGCAGGUUACUAGAUAGCUUGAAAGAAAAGAACGCAUUCGGGAUUUAUUCAGAAGCAAGAUGGACCGAACAAUGGACCGAAUGAAGUAUUGAUCGCACAGAGCACUAGAUCGACCGAUCCGGGCUACCUGGAUCGACCGAUCCCAGGCUUUCAUACACGAGAUCGACCGAUCCGAGUCAUGUGGAUCGACCGAUCUCAGGCGCUACGGGCUCCACACGCACAAACGAGCUUUUCACUCCUUUUUACCCACUCCCCUCAAUAAUUCAGAAAAGAACUCGACCUUUGAGACUCAAAAAAAGACCAGGGGCGACCAAGAAGGAGACUUACAAGUUCUAGAGAGAGAUUUGAGUGUUUUGUACUUGUUUUGGUGUGAUUUGUGAAGAUUUGUAAAGGAGUUCAUCUCAAAACCAUUUGGAGAAGAUCUUCUGAACCUUUACUCUGUUUUAAUACAAUCUUAUCAUGUUUUCUUCAUCAAAAUCGUUUUGUUCUUGCUUAGUUAUGUGUGAGUAGUCAUCUAGUUGGGUUUAGGGGUUCUCAUAGGGGAUUUCUUGAUGUUUUGAUCCAUAAAACGUGUGUAG